rnacentral:lncRNA from 1 species
CGAUCUAGUUCCUCCGCACUUGUGCAGCCUGUCGAAAGUCCUGGUCUUGAGCCCGCGCAGCACUUCAGCAUUUGCCCUCUCCGCAUGACCGUUGCUUCUCGGAUGAGCAACAGAAGCGAAGCAGACCUUGGCGCCAAGAUCUUGGACGUACUGCAUGAAGGUGCGGCUCGUGAAUUGUGUGCCGUUGUCGGUGAUGAUCCGGUUAGGGAUCCCGAAAUGGCAAACAAUUGACUUGAAGAACUUGACUGCUGACUGUGAUGUCACCUUCCUCACUGGUUGCACUUCCGGCCACUUCGUGAACUUGUCGAUUGCAACGUACAAGUACUCAAAGCCCCCGACAGCUCGGGGAAAGGGGCCGAGGACAUCGAGCCCCCAGACCGAAAAUGGCCAGGAUAAAGGGAUCGUCUGGAGAGCUUGAGCUGGCUGGUGUAUCUAUUUGGAAUGGAACUGGCACACUUCACACUUGGUUACUUGUGCAGUUGCAUCCUGUAGGGCUGUCGGCCAAAAGAAACCUUGCCGGAAUGCCUUGCCGGCAAGUGCCCUUGCCCCAAUGUGGUGACCACAUAUGCCUCCGUGUAUCUCUGCCAACAGCUUUUGUCCGUCUUCCCGGCAAAUACACUUCAAUUUCACACCGUUGAGUCUUCUUCUGUACACUAUGUUGUCGACAAACUGGUACAUACUUGACUGCCGGGCUACUUUUUCCGCUUCUUCUUGCUCUUCGGGAAGUUCUCCUGUCUGAAGGAAACGGACAAUCUGCUGUGCCCAUGUUGGAGCUUGCGGCUCGACAACAAGGACUAAAGGCACAUCUGCUGCUGCGGGAACAUCCGCUUCUACGGUGAGAACCUGUGGCUCAGCCGGAGCUUGAUGUUCCCCGGCAAGCUUGCCGGAGCAAAACUUGUCGGGAGCGUCUGCUUCAACGGAACAAACCCUGAGGCUUGCCGGAGCAGACUGCUCCUCAGCGCUCUUGGUGUUGAUCUUGGGGACCUUCCUGGUGGCGGCUUCGGGGAGCUCUGCUGGAAAGUAGUCACCAGAAAUCAGCUUCCUCUUCUUGCUCUGUCCAGUCGAUGGCGUUACAGAUGGUUGAGUCAGCUUGAGCACAAAGAUCCCUGGUUCCACAUGUAACUUCAGUGCGGCACACUUUGACAGGCCAUCGGCAAUGUCGUUCUGAGCUCUCUGAACAUGCUCCAUCUGUAGGCCGUCAAAGUGCUCUUCUAGCUUGCUCACUUCAUUAAUGUAAGCUUCCAUCAACGGACUCUGAUAAUUCUUGUUCACUUGGCGGACGACAAGCUGCGAGUCACCCCUGACAAUGAGCUUCUUGAUCCCAACGUCUGCUGCGAUCCUAAGACCGGCAAGCAAACCUUCAUACUUUGUCGUAUUGUUCGUUGCUUGAUCCUUGGGAAAGUGCAUCUGGACUACGUACUUGAGGUGCUCUCCGGUGGGUGCGACAAUCAACACACCCGCACCGGCGCCUUGCAGCGAGAAGGCACCAUCAAAGUACAUGAGCCACUCUUUCCUCGCUUCCUUGACGAGGAUGCUCGUCUCUAGAGUUUCUUCAUCUGGUGUUGGCGUCCAUUCUGCUAUGAAUUCCGCCAAUGCUCUACUUUGGAUAGUUGAAGUGCUCUCAAACUUGAGGCCAAAGCUUGACAGUUCCAGUGCCCACUCGACAAUCCUGCCUGUUGCUUCUGGGUUUUGCAGUAUCCUCUUUAGCGGAAAACGAGUGACGACUGUCAUCUCAUGUGAAGGCCGAAAAGGAAUUUCUGCACACCAGAGUACCUUGACCUAGCCCCCUGCAGAAGGGAACUGACAAAGUAAACAGGGCGCUGCACCAUUAUCUUCUGCAUCUUCUCAGGCUCCUGCGCAGAUCCAUCCUUGUCGGGACCAGAGCUUGUCGGCGAAGCCCCUUGCUUGUCGCUGGAUGCAUCUGCCGUGGUUGCUGGCUCAUCAUCCGCCUCCCUUUCCGCCACUAACGCAGCACUAACCACUUGAUUGGUUGCCGCUAUAUAUAGCAGCAACUUCUCUUGUGGUUUAGGUGCGACAAGUGUUGGAGUGGAGGACAGGUGUCUCUUCAAGUCUUGCAGCGCAGCCUCCGCCUCCGGAGUCCAUUUCAUUGGACCUACCUUUUUCAAGAUUUUGAAAAAUGGCAGGGCGCGCUCAGCAGAUCUAGAGAUAAACCUGCUGAGAGCAGCCACGCAACCGGCAAGCCUUCGUACAUCCUUGACGCGCUUUGGUGCUUCAAUCUGCUCAAUGGCCUUGAUCUUGUUGGGAUUGGCUUCAAUUCCCCGCUGAGACACGAAGAACCCGAGAAGCUUGCCGGAGGGGACUCCAAACACACACUUCUCGGGGUUCAACUUGAGAUUGAUCUUGCGCAGAUUUGCAAAUGUUUCGUCUAAAUCUUGAAUUAGGGUCGCCCUGUCCAUGCUCUUGACCACUAUAUCAUCCAUGUAGGCUUCCACAUUUCUGUGCAUUUGCGGCUCAAAAGCAUGAUGGACUACCCUUGCGAAUGUUGAACCAGCAUUCUUUAAACCGAAGGGCAUCCGUACGAAACAGUAGGUGCCACAUGGGGUGAUGAAUGCGGUUUUCUCCUCAUCUUCUUCUGCCAUGAAGAUCUGAUGGUAUCCUGAGUAUGCAUCAAGAAAUGAAAGCAAAUCACAUCCAAUCGUGGAGUCAACAAUCUGGUCAAUGCGCGGCAAGGGAAAUGGGUCUUUUGGACAAGCUUUAUUGACAUCGGUAAAGUCGAUACAAAGCCUCCAUUUCCCGUUAGCCUUGCGCACGACAACAGGAUUGGCCAACCAGGUGGGAUGGAGCACUCCUCUGAUAAGGCCUGCUACUUCCAAUUUCUUGAUUUCUUCUACGAUGAAUUCUUGGCGCUCCACUGCCUGCUUCCUGACUUUCUGUUUGACGGGCCGCGCAUGAGGACAGACGGCCAGGUGGUGCUCAAUUACUUUCAUGGGAACACCGGGGAUGUCAGACGGUUGCCAUGCAAACACGUCAACAUUUGCCCGCAGGAAAGCAACGAGCGCGCUUUCCUAUUUAGGGUCGAGAGUGGCACUGAUGGUGAAGGUACCACUAGUGCCGUCCUCCUUGGCGGACACCUUCUUGGUUUCUGGUGGAGCUGCCAUUGCCUUCUUACACUUGCCGGUGGAGCUCGAUGGUGCGUCCUCGACGGUAGCGCAGCACUCUGAAGAGGUGCGCUUGCCGGAGUGGGCAUCAGAGCUCUUGCCGAACUUGGUCUUCUUCUUCCCCUCGGGAGCUUCAGCGGCAAGUGACUUGUGUUCUGUUGCGGCUGCUACUUCCCGGUAGAUCUUGUCGGCGCAGAUAAGAGCAUCCUUCUUGUCGCCAGGGACAGAGAUGACACUUAUCGGGCCUGGCAUCUUCAGUAUGUUGUAUGCAUAGUGAGAGGCUGCCAUGAACUUGGCGAGCGCUGGACGACCAAGUAUCCCAUUGUAAGGCAAUGGGAAGUCAGCAACGUCAAAAGUGACCCUCUCAGUCCUGAAGUUCAACUCGCUGCCAAAUGUUACCGGCAACGUGAUCUUUCCCUUCGGCUUGCUCCUUCCCGGGUUGAUUCCUUGGAACGUGCCGGUCUCUUCGAGCUCGCUGUCAGGGAUCUAGAGUUUCUGGAGCACCGCGGAGGAGAUCAGAUUCAAGCCAGCCCCGCCGUCAACUAACAUCUUAGUGACCUUGAGGUUGCGGAUAGUUGGUGAAAGCAACAUCGGCAAGCACCCGACCGCAGUUAUGCGAUCAGGGUUGUCCUCAAUAUCAAAGAUGAUAGGCGUGUUGGACCAUUUCAGAGGCUUGCGUGACUCGACGGGUGGUUCUGCUGCAUUAACUUCCCGCACCCACUGCUUGAGCUGGCGGUGCGAAGUAUGCAGAGAAGCACCAUCAUCAAUGCACAGGACCUUUGUGGCCUUCUGGAACUCCUGCUCAUCGGUCUCGUCAUCAUCCAUAUCUUCGUCGUCGUCGUCUUCAUCCUUGUCGCAGCCACGGGGAGGUCUGUCUCCUUGCCGCUGCUUGGCCUUGCCGCGGCGUCCUCCCCGGCUGGGACGUUUCUUGCCAGAUCCUCCAGCACCUUCCUGGGCUUUCUCCUUGUCGCGUCGCUCGUAUUCAGCCUUCUGCUGCUCAACAAGCUGCUCGACCUUCUUGCAGCUCUGGAGGUCAUGGCCCUUGGUGCGGUGAAUCUUGCAGUACUGCUUGUUGGUGCCGUCCUGCUUGUCGGCGGCUGCCACAGCCUCUGCGGCAGUCUCCUUGCCGGAGCCACCCGCUUUGGCUUUCUUGGCGCCACCUCGGUUGCCGGACUGCUCGACGACUAGCACCUCUUUGCCUUUCCUCUUCCUGUUGUUCCGCCGCCGGUUUUUCUUUGCCGGGGCAGCAUCUUCACUGUCAGAUCCUCCUACUACUACAUUCUCUCCGGGGAGUCUCCUCCCUUCCUCAGCACGUGCACACUUGUCGGCCAGGGCAUAUAGCUCACUAACGUCUCUGAUCUUGCACAUCGCCAUCUCCUCCUGCAUCCUGCGAUUCCGCAUGUUCUGAUGGAACGCGCUGAUCACCGCGGCAGGGUGGACAUCUGGGAUGUUGUGCUAUACGCUGCUGAAUCUCUGAAUGUACUUGCGCAAGGGCUCUCCUUCCUUCUGGGCGAGCAGAUGAAGGUCACUCUCUUGGCCAUGAGGCUUGUGGCCCUCUGUGAAGGCGCCGACAAACUGAUGGCAUAGAUCGGCCCAAGAGGAUAUGGAGUUGUCCGGCAAGUGCAUGAGCCAGGAUCUGACGUUGGGCUUGAGCACCAGCAGGAAGUAGUUGGCAAGGAUCUUGUCGUCCCGCCCCCAGCAGCUUGCACCGCAAUGGUGUAGAUGCUGAGGAACUCCGACGGAUGCGUCUUGCCAUUGUACUUCUCCGGUACGUCUAGCUUGAAGUUCUUCGUGCUGGGCCACUGGACUUGCGCAGCUCACGAGUGAACGCAGGGCAACCUACCGCGUACGGCAAGUCGCCUGGUUCCCCUGGCGCAUGCAAGUCAACAGAGGGCCCAACGCGCUUGUCGGAUUGACGUCGCGCUUCUCUUCAGCGCUCGAUGCGAGUACGAGCGUCUUCUUGCUGUCGAUCAUGAAGAACUUGGCGCUGAUCGCGACAAGCUCAUGGAUCCGACGAUGCGGUGGAGUCGCUGUCGAGGUGGAUCCGGCGAGUCGGCGAUCUUGGCCUUUGGGGUGGAGAUUGCAUGGUGGUUGCACCCCCACCAGUUUCGUCACCACCGGCUCGCGCCUGGCAAUCCUGCCACGGCAGCGACGUGCUCGGCUGCCGUGGAGUGUCGCCAUUGGCGUAGCCGAUGAGACUCUGAAUGGUGGCCCUCCAUUCGUCGAUCUUGUCCGACGUCGGAGGGUAAUCCAGGAGCAGUUGAGCUCGCGCCAAAGCUUCUGCCAGAGUGGUGGGUGGCAGUGGCGGACGGCGCGAGGAGCGGGAUGUGCUCGGACUUCUAACUAUGUUAGAAGGAGAAUUAUCCCGUCCGGGCGACCGUGUCUCGCUCGUGCUGGCACGUUGGCGUGCAUGCUGGUCUUGAGCGCCCCGGGAUCCACCAGCUUGAUCUUGGCCCAACAAACGUAUGGUACUGCGAGUACCAUGACGUUGUCGGUCCUGCGCCUCCUGAGAUGGGCGCGGAACAAGCACGGACGUCGAGGCCUGCGCCGCCUUGCCCUUGGACCUGGCAGCGUCGUGAUCUUCCUCGUCGACGUCCGUCCUUCCGUCGGCGUCUACCCCACCACCCAUUUGCUCCGGUGGCGGUGGGAUCGACGUGGACGGAACAGCUGCCUCCAAAGCCUUCUUCUUCGGUGGCAUGUCGAUGAUGAAAGUGAAGAUCUAGCUCGUGUGAACGCCGGAUCAGGUUCACACAACCUUGACGCCCCCUACCUGGCGCGCCAAAGAUGUCGGGGAAACUGAUCCACGAACACCUAUGGGACCGGCGGACCGAGCCCCUUUCGGUUCGGCGUGGGGCGGAGGUCGCACAAAGAGCAAAUCGAGGCGAGGCACACGAGCAGUUUACCCACCUUCGGAGCUCUCCGGAGAGAUAACACUCCUACUGCUGCUUGUCUGAUUGUAUUAUGUUCUUGCUCGAGAGAGCUAAGUGCUUUUCUGGCUUCCGAAUGAUCUGAACCCUUUCUACGUUGCGCAUGGGCCUCCUUUUAUACGCUAAAGGGGUCACCGAUAGGUGGCAACGUAGACGAGGGCAAAAAUGUAAAAAGAGGGGUGGUUGGUACAGCUACCUGUACAGCGUAUCCUACCUAACCCUGACGGCAGGGGACAAAGGCAGUAAAUGCCUGUCUGCAUCGCCCAAACAGUGCAGAAAGGUACCGUCAGGGGCGCCACCACCUGCCACGAUGGCGAUCUUGUCAGCAUCGCAUGCCACCGCGCACCCCUGGCUGCACAGCCUCCCACCACGCGUGCCUGGAAAAGCCUUCAGGGCGACACGUUGUUGUAUGCGCUGGAGCGCGGGCACAGAGUGGCCGCCUGCCGCGGCAAGCGCCUUGCCGCGGCCGUUGUCUUGUCGGGCCCGGAAGCUUGUCGCUCGCCGAACCUUGCCGGGACGCACGGCGCGUCGCGGCAAGUUCCUUGAAAUGCCUUGGUUGGCCUUCCCGGCAAGCUCCUCUUGCCGGGGCCUUGUCUCCUGAGCUUAAAUACUUUGUUCUUGCAUGGCUCCAAAAGGAACCAUGGAGGACCUUGGCGGUCGCCCGGCAAGCCUUGCCGCGGGGUUGCUGCAACUGCCCGUGCACAAGUUCGGGAUACUAGGGUACCCCUAUUCUAGUACACUGACAAAGGUAUUUUGGAUUUUAUAUAUGAUAGGAAAUAGACCCCGGGGCCAUAGUUUCACUAGAGGCUUCUCUCAAGAAAAUAGCAUAUGAUGGGUAAAUGAAUUACUUUUGGGCAAUUGAUAGAAAAGUGAAUAAUCAUGACGAUAUCCAAGGCAAUGAUCAUGUAUAUAGGCAUCACAUCCAAGAUUAGUAGACCGACUCCUGCCCGCAUCAUCUACUAUUAAUCCACACAUCGACCGCUAUCCAACAUGAAUCUAGUGUAUUAAGUUCAUGGAGAAACGGAGUAAUUCAACAAGAACAAUGACAUGAUGUAGACAAGAUCUAUUCAUGUAGGAAUAGCGCCCAUCUUGUUAUCCUUAAUAGCAAUAAUGCAUGUGUGUCUUGCUGCCCCUUCUGUCACUGGGAAAGAACACCGCAAGAUCGAACCUAUCACAAAGCACCUCUUCCCAUGGCAAGAAAAAUCGAUCUGGUUGGCCUAACUAAGCCAAAGAUUCGAAGAAAAAAUAUGAGGCUAUAAAUAAUCAUGCAUAUAAGAGAUCAAAGAAGACUCAAAUAAUAUUCAUGGAUAUAGAUCUGAUGAUAAAUUCAAAGUUCAUCGGAUCCCAACAAACACACCGCAAAAAGAGUUACAUCAAAUAGAUCUCCAAAAGACUACUAUAUUGAGAAUCAAAAGAGCGAGAGGAAUCCAUCUAGGUACUGCCUACGGACCCUUAGGUCUAUCGUGGACUACUCAUGCAUCAUCGGAGAGGCACCAAUGAGGAUGAUGAACCCCUCUGUGAUGGUGUUAGAUUGGAUCUCCUGGUUCUGGAACUUGCGGCGGCGGGAAUUGUGUUUCGUCGACUCCUCUAGGGUUUCUGGAAUAUUUGGGAAUUUAUAGGGCGAAGAGGCGGUGCAGGGGGGCUCUAUGGGGGGCACAACCCCCUGGGCACGCCUAGACUCCUGGGCACGCCCUGGUGGGUUGUGCUCCCCAAGGGCCUCCCUUCUGUUACUUCUUUGGCCCACUGGGUGUCUUUCGGUCCAAAAACUAUCUCUGAAAAGUUUUGCUACGUUUGGACCCCGUUUGGUACUGAUAUUCUGCGAACUAAAAAACAAGCAAAAAAAUAAGAACUGGCACUGGGCACUAUGUCAAUAGGUUAGUCCCGAAAAACUUAUAAUGUUGCUAUAAAAUGAUUGUAAAACAUCCAAGAAUUAUAAUAUAACAGCAUGGAACAAUAAAAAAUUAUAGAUACAUUGGACACAUAUCAGCAUCCCCAAUCUUAAUUCCUGCUCGUCCUCGAGAAGGUAAAUGAUAAAUACAGAAUUUUUUAUGUGGAAUGUUGCCUGACAUGUUCAUCACAUAUUCAUUUAUUUUGUAGCAUGGACAUUUGGACUUUUAUAUGGUUCAAAGAAAUAGUCUAGUUUUGACAUGAAGAUUUCAAUACUCAAGCAUAUCAACAAGCAACCGUGUGUUUCAAAAUAUCAAUGCUAAAUAAAGCUAUCCCUAGCACAUUAUGCUCAAUCAUUGAUCCAUUCAUCAAACACACUCAAAUAUUAGCUACAUCCAAUGCACAAGUAUGAAAAUAGUGUUCCCUAGUUGGUGCUUUAUAAAAGAAGAUGGACACUCAAUAAAAAUAAAUAUUGCAUAAAACUAAAUAGUUAGGCCCUUCGUGGAGAGAAGCAGAGAUUUGUAGAAGUGCCAAAGCUCAUAGUUUAAAUUAAGAGAUAAAAUUGUUUUGAGAGGAAUGAUUUUCUUGUCAACGAAAAUGACCGAGAAAUCCCUACAUCUUCCAUGCUAGGUAAAUCAUAGGCUGUUCCCAAACAUAAAAUAAAGUUUAUUUCCUUUUCCACCAUUCUUUCACAAUCUAUGGCUAGCUGUAUCCACGGGUGCCAUCCAUACCAACACUUUCCAAGGAAUUUAUUAUGAACAACAUAAAUAAAUAAAAUUCAUUAUGGGAUUGGCAUCCCUAUUAUCUGUCACACUCUCAUGCAAUGAAAAGUGAAUAAACACUCAUCUUGAUAAUAACAUACAUAGCAUGGAAAAUAUUGGCCACCCCAUGCCGCUUCGUGAGUGGUAGGGCACACAAAAAGGAAAUUCAAUUUGAAAAUUAGAGUUGGCACAUACAAAUUUACUUGGAACGGCAUGGAAAUACCGUAUGUAGGUAGGAAUGGUGGACUCAUUUGGUACAACUUGGUUUAGGAUUUUGGAUGCACUAGCAGUAUUCCCGCUUAGUACAAGGAAAGGCUAGCAAAUAGAUUGAGAAGCAACCAACCAAAAAACGAAAAUGAUCGUAAAUGAGCAUUAAACAUAACUAACACUGAAUAAUGCACCACAACUAGGAUGUAACUUCAUUGCAUAACUAUUGACUUUCUUGCUUGCAUAGGGAAUCACAAACCUUAGCACCAAUAUUCUUCCUAAAGCAUAAUUACUCACUAACAUGACUCGCAUAUUACUAUCUCCAUAUCGCUAAACUAUUGUAAGGAAUCAAGUUUUAAUAUCUAGUGAUCUUCAUGAAAGUUUUUAUUAUAUCCCUCUUGAAUAUCUAUCACUUUGGGACCAAUUUUCAUAUCUUCAGCAGAUUACCAUUGUUAAUAACAAGCUCUCAAACAAAUUUAAGUGAAGCACGAGAGCAUAAAUAUUUCUUCAAAAUUUCCAUCUCUCAAAUAAUAUAAGUGAAGCAUGAGAGGACAUUUCUCAAAAAAAUCGUGACUCUGAAAAUAAUCUAAGUGAAGCAUGAGAGUAUUUGUUCAAAAGUUAAACCACCACCGUGCUCAAAAAGAUAUAAGUGAAGUACUAGAGAAAUUCCAUAGCUCAAAAAAUUGAAGUGAAGCACAUAGAGCAAUUCUAACAAAUCAUAGCAUCAUUAUGGCUCUCUCAAAUAGGUGUGUCCAGAAAGGAUGAUUGUGACAAAAAUAAUGCAAAACAAGUAAAGACUCAUAUAAUUCAAGACGCUCCAAGCAAAACUCAUGAUAUGUGACGAAUAAAAAUAUAGCUCCAAUUAAAAUUACCGAUGGUCGUUAGAAGAAAGAGGGGAUGCCUUCUGGGGCAUCCCCAAGCUUAGUUGCUUGGUACUCCUUGAAUAUUUCCUUGGGGUGCCAUGGGAAUCCCCAAGAUUAGGCUCCUUUCACUCCUUAUUACAUCAUCCAUCGUGAUCUCACCCAAAACUUGAAGACUUCAAUCACACAAAGCUUAGAAAAACAUUUGUGAGAUCUGUUAGUAUAAUAAAACAAAUCACCACUUUAAGUAUUGUCGGAAACCCAUUCAUAUUUUAUUUUUGCAUUAAAUCUAUUGUAUAUAACUUUACCAUGGCUAAUACUCCCCGAUACAAUCCAUAGAUUCAUCAAAAUAAGCACACAAUGCAACACAAAAAAAACUGAACAGUUUGUAGUAAGCUGUCCUUUAGCCAUACUUUUGUAACUCUAAAAGUUUUGCAAAAUUAGGACAAGGUAGGCAACUUGUAUCAAUCUGGUGUAAAAAUAUAAGAAUUUUUAGUCACUUGAGUGAUUCUUAAAAAAAAUUCUACUGGACAUUAAAGUUUCUAUUUUCCAAUGGGAUCAAAUCAACUAUCACCCAAACCGUCCCAAAGGCAUUACUUGGUACAAACACUAAUUAAAACAUAAAAAGCACAAUCAUAACAGAAGCAUAAUUGUGUAAUUAUUGAAAAACUGAAAAGAAAUUAAAAUUUAAAAGAUAACUGUUGGGUUGUCUCCCAACAAGCGCUAUUGUUUUACACCCCUAGCUAGGCAUAAUGCAUAGAUUCAAGUGUUGUCUUCUUCAGUUUCCCACUCCUCAAUCACACAACCAUAAUUCCUUAGAGAUCUACCAUGCAUAUUUUCAAUGAUCAUGCUCCUAGGGAUAAAGUUAAAGAAUUCACUCUUGCAAGUAGGUUUCUUUAUCAAUUCAACAAAGUCGGGGUGAACACUAAUCAUUUUAGGAUCUUCAUUGUUGCAAUUAGAAGAGGCACCCUUGUCCUUAGGAGCAUGGGUAGGUUUGUAAUUCUUACUAGGAGGGGGUUUUGGAAUAGUUUUCAUGGAAGAAAAAGUUGAUAUCAAGUUACUAAUAACCCACAAGUAUAGGGGAUCGUAAUAGUUUUCGAGGGUACAACAUUCAACCCAAAUUUAUUGAUUCGACACAAGGGGAGCCAAAGAAAAUUCUCAAGUAUUAGCAGCUGAGUUGUUGAUUCAACCACACCAGAAAGACUUAAUAUUUGCAGCAAAGUAUUUAAUGGUCAAAAGUAACAGUAGCAGUUUUGUAGCAAUUGUAAUAGUGGCAACGAAAAAGUAACUUAGCAAAGAUCAGUAUGAAACGAGCUCGUAGGCAAUGGAUCAAUGAUGGAUAAUUAUGUCGGAUGGCAUUCAUCAUGCAACAGUUAUAACAUAGGGUGACACAGAACUAGCUCCAAUUCAUCAAUAUAAUGUAGGCAUGUAUUCCGAAUAUAGUCAUACGUGCUUAUGGAAAAGAACUUGCAAGACAUCUUUUCUCCUACCCUCCCGUCGCAGCGGGAUCCUAUUGGAAACUAAGGGAUAGUAAGGCCUCCUUUUAAUAGAGUACCGGACCAAAGCAUUAGCACUUAGUGAAUACAUGAACUCCUCAAACUACGGUCAUCACUAGGAAGUGUUCCGACUAUUCUCACUCCGUGGUUGCCAGAUGAUAACACGUAGUAGGUGAUUAUAACUUGCAAGAUAGGAUCAAGAACACACAUAUAUUCAUGAAAACAUAAAGGGUUUAGAUAUGAAAUCAUGGCACUCGGGCCCUAGUGACAAGCAUAAAGCAUAGAAAAGUCAUAGCAACAUCAAUCUUCGAACAUAAUGGAUACUAGGGAUCAAACCCUAACAAAACUAACUCGAUUACAUGGUAAAUCUCAUCCAACCCAUCACCGUCCAGCAAGCCUCUGAUGGAAUUACUCAUGCACGCUGGUGAGCAUCAUGAAAUUGGUGAUGGAGAAUGGUUGAUGAUGACGAUGGCAACGGAUUUCCCUCUCCUUAACCCAGAAUGGACUCUAGAUCUGCCCUUCGGAGGAAGAAUAGGGCUUGGCGGCGGCUCCGUAUUGUAAAAUGCGAUGAAUCUUUCUCUCUGAUUUUUUCUCCCCGAACGUGAAUAUAUGGAGUUGGAGGUGAGGCCGGGUGAUGUCCAGGGGGCCCACAUGACAGGGGGCUUGCCCAGGGGUAGGGCGCGCCCCCACCCUUAUGGAUAGCGUGUGGGUCCCCUUUGGUUGAUUCUUUCGCCAAUAUUUUUUAUUUAUUCCCAAACUGAUCUCCGUGAAGUUUCAGGUCAUUCCAAGAACUUUUAUUUCUGCAAAAAAAAAAUAACACCAUGGCAAUUCUGUUGAAAACAACAUCAGUUUGGGUUAGUUCCAUUUAAAUCAUGCAAAACAAGGGCAAAAGAGUUUAGAAAAGUAGAUACGAUGGAGGCAUAUCAAAUCCCCAAGCUUAACCCAUUGCUUGUCCUCGAGCUAUUCAGUUGACAAACUGAAAGUGAUAAAGAAAAACUUUUGCAAACUCUGUUUGAUCUUGUUGUUGCAAAUAUGUAAAGCCAGCAUUCAUGUUUUCAGCAAAGAUUAUGAACUAACAAUAAUCACAAUGACAUUUAGGUGUCACAUUUACUCAUAUCAAUGGCAUAAUCAACUAGCAAGUAAUAAUAAUAAAUCUGGAUGACAACACUUUCUCAAAACAAUCAUUAUAUGAUAUAACAAGAUGGUAUCUCCCUAGCCCUUUGUGAGACCGCAAAACAUAAAUGCAGAGCACCCCUGAUGAUCAAGGACUGACUAGACAUUGUAAUUCAUGGUGAAAGAGAUCCAGUCAUAGUCAUAGUCAAUAUCAAUUCAUAACAAUGCAUACAAAUGACGGUGGUGCUCUCUAACUGGUGCUUUUUAUAAUAGGAUGAUGACUCAACAUAAAAAUAAAUAGAUAGGCCCUUUGCAGAGGGAAGCAGGGAUUUACAAAGGUGCCAGAGCUCGAGUUUUGAAACAGAGAUAAAUAAUAUUUUGAGUGGUAUACUUUCAUUGUCAAUAUAACAACCAAGAGAUCUCGAUAUCUUCCAUGCUACAUAUAUUAUAGGAGGUUCCCAAAUAGAAUGGUAAAGUUUAUACUCCCCCACCACCAACAAGCACAUUCCACGGCUGGUCCGAAACAACGGGUACCGUCCAACUAACAACAAUCCUGGGGGAGUUUUGUGUGCGAUUAUUUUGAUCUGAUUUGAGCAUGGGACUAGGCAUCCCGAUUACUGGCCAUUUUCUCGUGAAUGAUGAGCGGAGUCCACUCAUCAUCAGAAUAACUCACCUAGCAUGGAAGAUAUAGAUAGCCCUAGUUGCUACAUGAGCGAUUCAAGCAUACAAAACAGAAUUUCAUUUGAAGGUUUAGAGUUUGGCACAUGCAAAUUUACUUGGAAUGACAGGUAAAUAUUGCAUAUAGGUAGGUAUGGUGGACUCAUAUGGAACAACUUUGGGUUUAUGGAAGUGGACGCACAAGCAGCUUUCUCGCUUAGUACAAGUGAAGGCUAUAAAAAGACUGGGAAGCGACCAACUAGAGAGCAACAACAGUCAUGAACAUGCAUUGAGAUUAACCAACAAUGAGUCUAAGCAUGAGUAGGCUAUAAAUCACCAUGAACAUAAAUAUUGUGGAGGCUACAUUGAUUUUGUUACAACUACAUGCGUGAACAUGUGCCAAGUCAAGUCACUCAAAUAAUUCAAAGGAGGAUACCAUCUUAUCAUACUACAUCACAACCAUUUUAAUAGCAUGUUGGCACUCAAGGUAAACCAUUAUAAACUCCUAGCUAAUUAAGCAUGUCAUGAGUAACUAUAAUCUCUAAUUGUCAUUUGCAGACAUGUUUCAUUCAUAAUAGGCUGAAUCAGGAAUGAUGAACUAAUCAUAUUUACAAAAACAAGAUAGGUCGAGUUCAUAUUAGCUUUUCCUCAUCUCAAUCAUUUCAUCAUAUAUCGUCAUUAUUGCCUUUCACUUGCGUGACUGAACGGUGUGGAUAAUAAUAAUAGUGCACGUGCAUUGGACUAAGCUGGAAUGUGCAGACAUUUAUUCAAAGGAGAAGACAAGGUAAUAUGGGCUCUUUGUUAGAUUAACAAUAAUGCAUAAGAGAGCCACUCAUCAUUUUCAUCGUGGUCUUCUCCUCUCGACCCCCAAAGAAAAGAAAAGAGAUUUCAAAGGAACACACUGGAAUGUUUUUGGAGUUUUUGUUUUUUUGAAGGAAGUAAAACAAGAACAAGAAAAACUAUUUACAUGGGAAAUCUCCUAACAAGCAAAAGAAGAGCGAGAAAUAUUUUUGGAUUUUCCUUUAAUACUACUACUAAGUAAACAUGAAAAGUAAACUAACUAGAAGCUACAACUAAUUUUUUUGGUUUUUCUCAAAAAAAUUCAAACACACAAGAAGAAAGCAGGAAAAGAACAUAAACUAGCAUCGAUAACACAAUGAAAAAGUAUGAACACCGACAACUAAAAUAAGUGUGUGAACAUGAAUGUAAUGUCGGUGAGAAAUACGUACUCCCCCAGGCUUAGGCCUUUGGCCUAAGUUGGUCUAGGGCUACCACUGGCCUGGAUGAUAUCCGAAAUCAUAGUUCGGGUCGUACUGUGUUGCGGCAGCUACCGCCUGAUGAUCUGCUUCCUAGAGGUGAGCGGCCUCUGUUGUUCUCUCAUACUCGUUUGCCUCCUCUCUAGUUAUAACAUAUCUCCAAUUUACCUGAAAGUUAAACAAGGCAGGAGCAGGAAGGGUAAUAUGGACAGCACGCCGUGUGUCAAAGAUUAGUAGGUACUGGAGGAACUGAUCGUUCCUCUCAAGAAACUGGUAACGAACCAUAGGACUAUAAUCUAGAAAAGUAGGUGGCAACUCAAUGUCAUUCUCUCUUAUGGAUACACCAAGAUAAUUAGCUAAACGAGUUGCAUAAAUCCCACCAAAUAAAUCUCCAUCUUUAGCAUUAAGAUGUAACCUCCUGGCAACAAUGGCCCCCAAGUUAUAUUGCUUAUCACCUAACACCGCACAUGUGAGGACACUAAGAUCUGGAACGCAAAGGUGGCUAUGAUCAUGCUUACCAUUAAUGCAUCUUCCUAUGAAGACAGCAAAGUAAUAUAUAGCAAGAAAGUGAAUGCUCCCUAUGGUAGCUUGUGUGAUAUUUCUAGUUUCUCUCACAGUGAUGCUAGCAAGGAAAUCAUUAUAUUCAGAUUUGUGAGGCUCACUAAGAAUGACCCACUGUGGGGUCUUGCAAGCAGUAUUAAAAUCUUCAAGGUCCAUGCUAUAUGAUUUAUCAUAAAGGUCAGAUAAACACUAUGAGUAUUGCGCUUAGAUGAAAGUUCAAAUCUCUGCACAAAGGAAUCAAUGAGGUAAUAGUAUUGUAGGCACUUAUCUGAUACGAAGUCCUCAAGAUCGGCAUUACAUACAUACGCAUCAUAAUUCAUCCUUGAAGCCUGCAUGGACCAUAAAUUCAGCAGAUGGCCAUUCACAAGGCUGCACUUGAGCUUCCCUUGGUGGUUCAAGGUCUGGAUCAUGUAUCGCGAGCCUUGGUGCUUGCUUCCUUGAAGAACCACCUUGGUACAUUUUCCUAAGCAUUGUUCUUCCUCUGAAUUUUUUUUUUUGAAAUUUUUAGUGACUGAAAAUAGAACUGAACCAAACUCAACAAGAUUGAUAGCAACUACUCCUACAAGUACCUAGAGGCUAUACAUGCAUCAAAACUUCUUUGGACCAUAUAAAUUUGACAUGCAAGCUAGAGAACAGGGUCACCUCAGCAGCAAAGAUUUGCAAUAAAUAAAGCACUAGAACAAAAACUAAUUGGACCAUUGGAGGAGUAACAUACCAAAGAAGAAUCCCUCAAAGCAGUUUUGUGAAUGGAGCUUUGAGCAAGGAGAUCAAAAAUGGCAGCAAAGUGAGCAAGAACACGGUUUUGAGCUACAGGAUGAUUUUUCUGGAGUAAGACAAAGUGGAUGGGUGCUGGAAUAAGUGCAAGGGACCCACGUGGGGCCCACAAGACAGGGGGGCGUGCCCAAGGGGCUAGGGCAUGUCCUCCACCCUUGGGUACAGCUGGUGCACCCCCCCAGGUGUGUUCUCAGUGCCAAAUAUUCUCAAAUAUUCUAUAAAAAAUCAUACUAAAUUUUCAGGGUAUUUUUUUAUUGCGAGGAUAAUUCAGAAAACAGACAGAAAAUACUAUAUUUGCUUUAUUUAAUCUAUAUAACAAAAAGUAAAAGGAGGGUACAGAAAGUUGUGCCUUCUAAAUUCAUCCAUCUCAUGCUCAUCAAAAGGAAUCCAUUACCAAGGUUAAUCAAGUCUUAUUAACGAACUUCUUCCGAAUGAUAUGAAACCGGAGAAUUUUCGAAUAAACUAGGUUAGCUCAACGGGGAUUUGCAUGUUCCCAAAUAGAAUGGUAAAGUUUAUACUCCCCCACCACCAACAAGACAUUCCACGGCUGGUCCGAAACAACGGGUACCGUCCAACUAACAACAAUCCUGGGGGAGUUUUGUUUGCGAUUAUUUUGAUCUGAUUUGAGCAUGGGACUGGGCAUCCUGAUUACUGGCUAUUUUCUCAUGAAUGAUGAGUGGAGUCCACUCAUCAUCAGAAUAACUCACCUAGCAUGGAAGAUAUAGAUAGCCCUAGUUGCUACAUGAGCGAUUCGAGAAUACAAAACAGAAUUUCAUUUGAAGGUUUAGAGUUUGGCACAUGCAAAUUUACUUGGAAUGACAGGUAAAUACCGCAUAUAGGUAGGUACGGUGGACUCAUAUGGAACAACUUUGGGUUUAUGGAAGUGGACGCACAAGCAGCUUUCCCGCUUAGUACAAGUGAAGGCUAUAAAAAGACUGGGAAGCGACCAACUAGAGAGCAACAACAGUCAUGAACAUGCAUUGAGAUUAACCAACAAUGAGUCCAAGCAUGAGUAAGCUAUAAAUCACCAUGAACAUAAAUAUUGUGGAGGCUACAUUGAUUUUGUUACAACUACAUGCGUGAACAUGUGCCAAGUCAAGUCACUCGAAUAAUUCAAAGGAGGAUACCAUCUUAUCAUACUACAUCACAACCAUUUUAAUAGCAUGUUGGCACUCAAGGUAAACCAUUAUAAACUCCUAGCUAAUUAAGCAUGGCAUGAGUAACUAUAAUCUCUAAUUAUCAUUUGCAAACAUGUUUCAUUCAUAAUAGGCUGAAUCAGGAAUGAUGAACUAAUCAUAUUUACGAAAACAAGAUAGGUCAAGUUCAUAUCAGCUUUUCCUCAUCUCAAUCAUUUCAUCAUAUAUCGUCAUUAUUGCCUUUCACUUGCGUGACUGAACGGUGUGGAUAAUAAUAAUAGUGCACGUGCAUUGGACUAAGCAGGAAUGUGCAGACAUUUAUUCAAAGGAGAAGACAAGGUAAUAUGGGCUCUUUGUGAAAUUAACAAUAAUGCAUAAGAGAGCCACUCAUCAUUUUCAUCGUGGUCUUCUCCUCUCGACCCCCAAAGAAAAGAAAAGAAAUUUCAAAGAAACACACUGGAAUGUUUUUGGAGUUUUUGUUUUUUUUGAAGGAAGUAAAACAAGAACGAGAAAAACUAUUUACAUGGGAAAUCUCCCAACAAGCAAAAGAAGAGCGAGAAAUCUUUUUGGAUUUUCCUUUAAUACUACUACUAAGUAAACAUGAAAAGUAAACUAGCUAGAAGCUACAACUAAUUUUUUUGGUUUUUCUCAAAAAAAUUCAAACACACAAGAAGAAAGCAGGAAAAGAACAUAAACUAGCAUGGAUAACACAAUGAAAAAGUAUGAACACCGACAACUAAAAUAAGUGUGUGAACAUGAAUGUAAUGUCGGUGAGAAAUACGUACUCCCCCAAGCUUAGGCCUUUGGCCUAAGUUGGUCUAGGGCUACCACUGGCCUGGAUGAUAUCCGAAAUCAUAGUUCGGGUCGUACUGUGCUGCGGCACCUACCGCCUGACGAGCUGCUUCCAGGAGGUGAGCGACCUCUGUUGUUCUCUCAUACUCGUUUUCCUCCUCUCUAGUUAUAACAUAUCUCCAAUUUACCUGAAAGUUAAACAAGGCAGGAGCAGGAAGGGUAAUAUGGACAGCACGCCGUUUGUCAAAGAUUAGUAGGUACUAGAGGAACUGAUCAUUCCUCUCAAGAAACUGGUAACGAACCAUGGGACUAUAAUCUAGAAAAGUAGGUGGCAACUCAAUGUCAUUCUCUCUUAUGGAUACACCAAGAUAAUUAGCUAAACGAGUUGCAUAAAUCCCACCAAAUAAAUCUCCAUCUUUAGCAUUAAGAUGUAACCUCCUGGCAACAAUGGCCCCCAAGUUAUAUUGCUUAUCACCUAACACCGCACAUGUGAGGACACUAAGAUCUGGAACGCAAAGGUCGCUAUGAUCAUGCUUACCAUUAAUGCAUCUACCUAUGAAGAGAGCAAAGUAAUAUAUGGCAAGAAAGUGAAUGCUCCCUAUGGUAGCUUGUGUGAUAUUUCUAGUUUCUCUCACAGUGAUGCUAGCAAGGAAAUCAUUAUAUUUAGAUUUGUGAGGCUCACUAAGAAUGACCCACUAUGGGAUCUUGCAAGCAGUAUUAAAAUCUUCAAGGUCCAUGCUAUAUGAUUUAUCAUAAAGGUCAAAUAAACACUAUGAGUAUUGCGCUUAGAUGAAAAUUCAAAUCUCUGCACAAAGGAAUCAGUGAGGUAAUAGUAUUGUAGGCACUUAUCUGAUACGAAGUCCUCAAGAUCGGCAUUACAUACAUACACAUCAUAAUUCAUCCUUGAAGCCUGCAUGGACCAUAAAUUCAGCAGAUGGCCAUUCACAAGGCUGCACUUGAGCUUCCCUUGGUGGUUCAAGGUCUGGAUCACGUAUCGCGAGCCUCGGUGCUUGCUUCCUCGAAGAACCACCUUGGUACAUUUUCCUAAGCAUUCUUCUUCCUCUGAAAAAUUUCUGAAAUUUUUAGUGACUCAAAAUAGAACUGAACCAAACUCAACAAGAUUGAUAGCAACUACUCCUACAAGUACCUAGAGGCUAUAUCAUGCAUCAAAACUACUUUGGACCAUAUAAAUUUGACAUGCAAGCUAGAGAAUAGGGUCACCUCAGCAGCAAAGAUUUGCAAUAAAUAAAGCACUAGAACAAAAACUAAUUGGACCAUUGGAGGAGUAACAUACCGAAGAAAAAUCCCCCAAAGCAGUUUUGUGAAUGGAGCUUUGAGCAAGCAGAUCAAAAAUGGCAGCAAAGUGAGCAAGAACACGGUUUUGAGCUACAGGAUGAUUUUUCUGGAGGAAGACAAAGUGGAUGGGUGCUGGAAUAAGUGCAAGGGACCCACGUGGGGCCCACAAGACAGGGGGGCAUGCCCAAGGGGCUAGGGCGUGCCCUCCACCCUUGGGUACAACUGGUGCACCCCCCCCUGGUGUGUUCUCAGUGCCAUAAAUUCUCAAAUAUUCUAUAAAAAAUCAUACUAAAUCUUCAGGGCAUUUGGAGAACUUCUAUUUUCAGGGUAUUUUUUUAUUGCGAGGAUAAUUCAGAAAACAGACAAAAAAUACUAUAUUUUCUUUAUUUAAUCUAUAUAACAAAAAGUAAAAGGAGGGUACAGAAAGUUGUGCCUUCUAAAUUCAUCCAUCUCAGGCUCAUCAAAAGGAAUCCAUUAACAAGGUUGAUCAAGUCUUAUUAACGAACUUCUUCCGAAUGAUAUGAAACUGGAGAAUUUUCGAAUAAACUAGGUUAGCUCAACGGGGAUUUGCAUGUCCCCAACAAUAAGAAUAUCAUAUUUCUUUUUGACAGUAGGAAGAGGGAAUUCAAAACCUCCAAUAGUAAUAGUUGAAAUUUUUCCAAUAGAAUUGAUACUCUGAACUUGAGGUUGUUUCUUUGGAAAGUGUAACGUAUGCUCAUUACCAUUAACAUGAAAAGUGGCAUUGUCCUUGUUGCAAUCAAUAACAGCCCCUGGAAUAUUCAAAAAGGGUCUACCCAGAGUGAUUGACAUACUGUCGUCCUCGGGAAUAUCAAGAAUAACAAAGUUUGUUAAGAUAGUAAUGUUUGCAACCACAACAGGCACAUCCUCACAAAUACCGAUGGGUAUAGCAGUUGAUUUAUCAGCCAUUUGCAAAGAGAUUUCAGUAGGUGUCAACUUAUUCAAAUCAAGUCUAUGAUAUAAAGAGAAAGGCAUAACACUAACAACGGCUCCAAGAUCACAUAAAGCAGUUUUAACAUAAUUUCUUUUAAUGGAGCAUGGUAUAGUUGGUACUCCUGGAUCUCCAAGUUUCUUUGUUAUUCCACCCUUAAAAGUAUAAUUAGCAAGCAUCAUGGAAAUUUCAGCUUCCGGUAUCUUUCUUUUACUAGUGACAAUAUCUUUCAUAUACUUAGCAUAAGGAGGCAUUUUAAGCAUAUGAGUCAAACGCAUACGCAAGAAGAUAGGUCUAAUCAUUUCAGCAAAGCGCUCAAAAUCCUCAUCAUCCUUUUUCUUGGAUGGCUUAGGAGUAAAAGGCAUGGGUUCUGAACCCAUGGUUCUCUUUCUUUAACGUGCUUCCUAGCAACGAAGUCUCCCUUAUCAUAAUGUUGAUUCCUUGAUUGUGGGUUAUCAAGAUAACAACAAGUUCAACUUCUACAUCGUUAUCAUUACUAGGUUGAGCAUCAACAUGAACAUCAUCAUUAACACUAUCACUAGGUUCAUGUGCAUCACCAGAUUGUGUCUCAGCAUCAGAAAUAGAAAUAUCAUUAGGGUUCUCAGGUGUGUCAAUAACAGGUUCACUAGAAGCAUGCAAAGUCCUAUCAUUGUUCUUUUUCUUUUUAUUAGAGGGACUAACUCUCUGAGAGUCUUUCUCAGCUCUCUUAGGAUGGCCCUUAGAAUACAAAGGUUCUUGGGUCAUUUUACCACCUCUAGUCAUAACUCUAACAACAUUAUCACUGUUCUUCUUAUUUAACUCAUUGAGCAAAUCAACUUAUGCCUUAAGUAAUUGUUCUACUUGAGUUGUAACCAUGGAAGCAUGUUUACUAAUAAGCUUAAGAUCACUUUUAACUCUAGACAUAUAAUCACUCAAGUGUUCAACCAUAUAAGCAUUAUGUUUCAAUUUCCUAACAACAUAAGCAUUGAAGUUUUCUUGUUUAACAAUAAAGUUAUCAUCAUCCAAGCAUUGACAAGCAGACUUAUUAUGAGUAAUAUCACCUUCAUCAAAUCUAUAGAGAGAAAUUACCUUUACUACCUAUGUCGGGUUAUCAAGACCAUGUAUUUCUUCAAUAGGAGGUAAAUUCUUAACAUCUUCAGUGUUAAUACCUUUUUCUUUCAUAGAUUUCUUUGCCUCUUGCAUAUCUUCAGGACUGAGAAAUAGAAUACUACUUUUCUUCGGAGUUGACUUAGGAGUUGGCUCAGGAAGUGUCCAAUCAUUAUCGCUACUCAAUAUAUUAUUCAAUAGCAAUUCAGCUUGAUCAGCAGUUCUUUCCCUAAAAACACAACCAGCACAACUAUCCAGGUGGUCUCUGGAAGCAUCGGUUAGUCCAUUAUAAAACAUAUCAAGUAUUUCAUUUUUCUUGAGAGGAUGAUCAGGCAAAGCAUUAAGUAAUUGGAGAAGCCUCCCCCAAGCUUGUGGGAGACUUUCUUCUUAAAUUUGCACAAAGUUAAAUAUUUUCUGUAAGGUAGCUUGUUUCUUAUAAGUAGGAAAAUAUUUUGCAGAGAGUAGUAAAUCAUAUCCUAGGGACUACGCACACAACCAGAAGCAAGAGAAUUAAACCAUAUCUUAGCAUCACCCAUUAAUGAGAAACGAAACAACUUAAGAAUAUAGUAAUAGCGAAUUUUUUCCUCAUGAGUAAAUAGGGUGGCUAUAUGAUUCAUUUUAGUAAGAUGUGCCACAACAGUUUCAUAUUUAUAACCAUGGAAAGGAUCAGAUUGAACCAAAGUAAUUAACUCAGGAUCGACAGAGAAUUCAUAAUUCGCAUCAGUAACACAGAUAGGUGAAGUAGCAAACCCAGGAUCAUAUUGCAUUCUAGCAUUCAAAGACUUUUCAUUCAGCUUAGCUAACAGUUUCUUAAGAUCAUAUCUAUCAUUGCAGGCAAAAAAGUCUCUAGCAGUUUCUUCAUCCAUAAUAUAACCCUCAGGUACAACAAGCAAUUCAUAUCUAGGGGGAGAAUCUUCGUCAUUAGAUUCAACAAUAUCAUCAGGUUCAGUAAUUUCAUUCUCCCUAACCCUAGAAAGUUGUUCAUCAAGAAAUUCACCUAGUGGCAUAGUAUUAUCAAGCAGAGAACUGGUAUCAUCAAAAGCAUCAUGCAUAGCAGAAGUGGCAUCAUCAAUAACAUGCGACAUAUCAGAAUCAAUAGCAGGUGUAGGAGUCACAAGUUUACUCAAAAUAGAAGCUGAAUCAAGUGAAGAGCUAGAUGGCAGUUCCUUACCUCCCCUUGUAGUUGAGGGGAAAAUCUUGGUUCUUUGGUCUUUCAAAUUCCUCAUAGUGAUCAACAGAUAUAAAUCCCAACUGACUCAGAGAAUAGAGCUAUGUUCCCCGGCAACGGCACCAGAAAAUGGUCUUUAUAACCCACAAGUAUAGGGGAUCGCAACAGUUUUUGAGGGUAAAGUAUUCAACCCAAAUUUAUUAAUUCAACACAAGGGGAGCCAAAGAAUAUUCUCAAGUAUUAGCAGCUGAGUUGUCAAUUCACCCACACCUGAAAGACUUAAUAUCUGCAGCAAAGUAGUAUGGAAGCAACGGUAACGGUGGUAAAAGUAAUAGUAGCAUUUUUGUAGCAAUCGUAACAGUGGCAACGAAAAGUAACUUAGCAAAGAUCAGUAUGAAACGAGCUUGUAGGCAAUGGAUCAAUGAUGGAUAAUUAUAUCGGAUGGCAUUCAUCAUGCAACAGCUAUAACAUAGGGUGACACCGAACGAGCUCCAAUUCAUCAGUAUAAUGUAGGCAUGUAUUCCGAAUAUAGUCAUACGUGCUUAUGGAAAAGAACUUGCAUGACAUCUUUUGUCCUACCCUCCUAUGGCAGCGGGGUCCUAUUGGAAACUAAGGGAUAUUAAGGCCUCCUUUUAAUAGAAUACCAGACCAAAGCAUUAGCACUUAGUGAGUACAUGAACUCCUCAAACUAUGAUCAUCACCGGGAAGUGUCCCGACUAUUGGCAAUCCGGGGUUGCCGGAUCAUAACACGUAGUAGGUGACUAUAACUUGCUAGAUAGGAUCAAGAACUCACAUAUAUUCAUGAAAACAUAAAGGGUUCAGAUCUGAAAUCCUGGCACCCGGGGCCAAGCGACAAGCAUUAAGCAUAGGAAAGUCAUAGCAACAUCAAACACUAAUAAACUAACUCGAUUACACGGUACAUCUCAUCCAACCUAUCACCAUCCAGCAAGCCUACGAUGGAAUUACUCACGCACGGCAGUGAGCAUCAUGAAAUUAGUGAUGGAGGAUGGUUGAUGAUGACGAUGGCGAUGGAUUCCCCACUCCGGAGCCCCAAACGGACUCCAGAUCUGCCCUCCCGAGGAAGAACAGGGCUUUGCAGUGGCUCCGUAUCGUAAAACGCAAUGAAUCCUUCUCUCUGAUUUUGUUCUCCCCGAACAUGAAUAUAUGGAGUUGGAGUUGAGGUCGGUGGAGGUCCAGGGGGCCCACAAGACAGGGGGCGCGCCCCCCACCCUUAUGGAUAGGGUGUGGGUCCCCUGUGGUUGAUUCUUUCGCCAAUAUUUUUUAUUUAUUCCAAAACUGAUCUCCGUGAAGUUUCAGGUCAUUCUGAGAACUUUUAUUUCUGCACCGAAAUAACACCAUGGCAAUUCUGUUGAAAACAGCAUCAGUCCGAGUUAGUUCCAUUCAAAUCGUGCAAAUUAGAGUCCAAAAUAAGGGCAAAAGAGUUUGGAAAAGUAGAUACGAUGGAUACGUAUCAUCUACUAAAAAUUUCUUCCAAUUUAUCAAUCCGAGCAGGGAUCUCCUCUACCCUUUUGUUAACUAUGGGUCUUUUCUCUUUUAGUAAUUUCAGAGUAUCUCUGUGGCACCCCGGCUCAGAGAAAUCGAAACGCGUCGUAUUCCAGCCCAGUGAUCAAGGUGAAGUCUUCUGGAAUACGACACUGCUUAACAUAGAACAAACCAGCUCUCUAUUACAACACGGAUACAAAUACAAGGUCUCCGAUAUUACAAUGAAUAACAUCGGCCUGGCAACACUACACCAACCAUAGUUUCUCUAUGCAAGCAGCAUAACAACUCGGGGCAGCGGAACCUCUACUGGCAGCGGAACUGCUCUUGGCAGCGGAACAACGAACGACAAUGAUGGACUCCAAUCCGCAGGGACCCUGGCUGGAACGUUUAUCCUAGCUCGCGAACAUGGGAACCACACCAAACAAGCAAGCAAUCUAGGCAUGAUGUGAAAACUAGCAUGACACUCCAGGUCAGUACAUUGAAUGUACUUGCAAGCUCACAAUAACCAAAAGAAGUCAAGACAAACAACAACAUGGCAUUAGCAGGUGAAAACAAUCAUGAACAUGAUACUAGCAGAACAACAUGGCAUGCACAAUGAAACAUGAUACAAUUUUAACAUGGCAUGAUCAUAUGAACAUGAUGAUACUACAUGCAACAGGUUAACAUAACCAUGCACCAACCUACUUUGCUCAGGUUACCUCGUAAACAAAACAUGCAUUACUUACCACCGUGGACAUCGCACGAUCAUCUCAGGAUCAAAUCAAGCUUGGUAUAACAAUACUGUAGUAACCAUUACAUGACCACAAGGAGCUUGACCUUUACCCGUGAUUCUCGCAUGACACCACAAAUAUCCAACAACUUGGUAUCCCCGAUACCACGGUGAUCCUCUCACGAUUACAUAAAGAUCAACCAACUUAUUUCAUCAUCAUACCAGGGUUGUUAUAAAACACAUCAUUAUUAUUACUGUUGACCCAUAGUGUGACCAACUUCGAACUGGGCCCAUAUCCGCAGGCGCGGCUAUCGAUAGAUUUAACACACACACUCUACAGAGGUUAGCACACUAUGCCCACACCACGGAACCCAUGGCCUCGCACUCCCAUUCGGGUGGACCAACGGUGUUCCAACCAAACUUCUCUAUUUCCCAUGACACUCUCCCGGCCACUCCGACCAACUCCCCUCUGGGCUAAGUCAUGAGUGGCCCCGUGCCUACCAAAGGCAUCAACGACCACCAUCAUGGCAAAACAAAUGGUCCCAAACGGGACAUGAGCUCAAAACCAAACAUGAGCACACAAGGCUUAUGUCAUCCUACUCGGCCAAGGUAGCGCCCGUGCAUAACCUUCCCUCUUUGGAGGCACCGACGAGAGGCAUGACAAUAGACCUAGUUAGGACCUUCCCACAAAAGGAAAUGUGGUUCCACUUGUCAGCUCGAUUCAGUGGCACCAUGACUCAGCCAAUAGUUGUUUAAGUUCAAUUAAGUCCAAUUAAACUUGAAUGCAAUAAGCUGAGUCAUAUUAAAAAUAACAUGAUGCAACUACAAUACAUGAGCAUAAUACCAACAUGAGCAUGGAUGUGCAACCAUAAUAAAUCACUGAGCAUAACAACAAUGAAGCAUAUAUCCUACUAAGCAUGGCAUACUCGCGAGCAUGAAUAACACAAACAUAGCUCUAUCAUAAGAAUAGCAUGACCACUAGCAUCAUAAAUAAAUACCAUGCAAGAACAUAAUGGCAAUACUACUAGGUGAGCAUAAACCAACUAGAUGCAACAAAAUAUGCAUAUCAACGGUACUCGGUAACAGACGAUAGUCAUGCACCAAAGAACAUAACCAACACCAACAUGAACUACUAGCAAGCAUGAACAUAUGAAAGUAAUACUAGCAAGUAGAUCAUGAUAACCGAGUGCAAGAAAACAUAGCAUGACGGUAACCACCGAUCCAUAAGGAUAACCGAAAUAACGACAGCCGAAGCAAAACAAACAAACGAUUAUUAAAGAUUCAAGUUGAAGACCAAUGGUACUGCAUGGGUAUCAUGCAAAUGGUGGUUCUGGCUUGCCUGGGGGUGACGAGACUCCGGGAAGAAGUGCGGUGAAACCACGGAAACAAAACACGGGAUGGUUCUCUCUCAGAGGGAGCUGAUUAGUGGCAAGGGAAAAAUGGUCAUUUUCACUAUGGGACAACCUAGUGAAAAUGUUACCAAUAGAAAGAGCUCGACGAGACGAAGACGUGAGCUUUGUUUCACCUAGAUCAGAGCUACGGUUGAAAAGUUGUGAGGGGUUGAAGUUCAGGGACCAAUCUGUAAAUGUUUUCAUUACCAAUAAGUUCCUGGCGGCUGAAAAUAGAAAACACCUUUGAGCAGAUUGCAUAUUCUGCAAUAGAAAGCGUAUUUUUAGCCGCAACCGAAGCAUAAUACGCUUUCCAACUUGGAAAAUGUAUUUCCAAGAAAUACGUUUCAACUUACACACGUGGACCAGGGUGGGAGAGGCUUACAGGCGGCGUCCACGCGACAGGAGGAGGGGGCCGACUGGAUCGCCUUCUUCCCCGCGCAUUUGUUCCUCUCGUGAACAGAGGAGGAGCAGGGCAGGGAAGUAGCCAAGGGGCCGGCCAGCUCCGACGAUCCCUGGCCCGACCGAGGGCACCCGAGGGACCGCGGGGCUGCGCCACACCCGUUCAGGGGCAAGGGAGGCGCCGGGGAGGAGUAGGAUGGAGGGGAGAGGUGGUGCCAGGAGGAGGACCGGGACGAGCGGGUGGUGGUGCUCUCCAGUGAAGCAGGCACUCCAGCGAGGGGGCAAGUGGGUAGGGCGACUCGAGGGGAGGAGGGGGACUCGGUGGACAUGGAGGCGAGGCAAGGGGAGGCCUGGGCGGCUCGACUACGAGCUAGACCUGGGCGUCCAUGGCGGACGAGGAGGAAAACGGUGAAGGGAGGGGCUGCUCCGGUGGCCGGGAAAGCUUGGGGAGAGGCUUGGGAGCUGCAGGAGAGCAUAGGGGUCCUUAUAUAGGCGCGGGAAGGCUUCGGGAGAGCUCGAGGGAGCUCUAGCUCGCUGCCAAUGGAGGGCCAAAGCAUGGACGCGUCACAGGGAGCUCGACGGCGACCACACCGUAGUGACUUAGGGCGGGGCAGCGAUGCAGAAUGAUGCAGGGGCUCACGGGCUAUCUCCAGGACAUGAAUUGAGGUCGAGACGAGGAGGAAGGUGACGGGAACAGGGCGGAAGACUCGAGAGAUUGCAAUCUGCAUGAUGCCAGCGUGAUCACCACGCGCACUAGAGCAAACUGCUAGUUUUGGCCAGGCCGACCAUGUCUAGUAGAAUGACCACGAUACCCUGAGCCUAAACAAAGCAAUAAGUUGGUUCAGGGGCAAAGAAGAGAAAAGUAGGAUAAGCCAAAACAGAUCAGCAGCAACCUAUUUGUGUUGUCUAGACGGGACACGAACUUGGCAAAUAAGGAACUGAUUUGUCUGGUGUUUAUCACACACUAAGGUGACUUUGAUCAUCAAAAAUAAGCUUAAGAGGAAGAGUUUAGAGGGUGGUUGUUGUAGAAAGUGCCAAAAUGGCCAGAUAUGGGGAUGAUGAAGUUGCACUCUUAUGAAGAGGCAAGUUGAGCAGAAAUUGGGCAUGGCCGAAUGUUUUGAGGAUUUGAAGAUGCCCAAAAAGUUUCAUGCCAAUUGGAUGAACCAAAAUAGCACUUGCUUCACAAAGCAUCUCUUUGGACAGAAUUUUGGAAAAAUUGCACAGGGCAAAUGGAGUAAUGGAUUGAGCCAAAACUUGGUGGAGGGAGUUGAUAUGGAUAGGAGAAUGUCCUGGAAAAUUUGCAGCUUAUUUGAAGCAAUAUAAAAGAUGGGUUGCUUCACAACCUAGGGCAAUCAAGAUAAUUCCUUUAAUAGAAAAUGAAUAUUCCCAAUAAAAAUAAUAUUGAGAUUUGGGCUAGGAUGAAAAUGACAUGAUAUAGGGAUGAUUAUGAGGAUGACAAGCCACUAUAAAACCUAGGAAGACAUGAUCUUCCCAAGUUUUGGAACCACAUAGCCACAGAAAAGCAAUUCAAAUCAAUAAAUUCAAGAAAAUCGAAGGAAAAAGAGAAGGGCAAAAUCCAGGGUGUUAAAAACCUUCCCCCCUUAAAGAAACCUCGUCCUCAAGAUUUGGUUGCACAGGGAUAAAUAAUUUUUUUGACUUGAAGAAACCGUUUCCAACUCAGGUUUCUUUUAUUCAUUCUCAUAUAAUAUUCCCACUAAGUUGGAUAUAGGGUGGUUUGCUUCACCGUAUCUGACAUUCUGACAGGACUUACCUCAUAUGUUCCUGUCCACACUGACUCAAAUUUUCUUUCAUAUCUGCUGGCUUAGCUAAGGUCCAAAAUGUUAUCAUAACUGGAAUAGGUGUCCUUCUCAAUACUUAUCCUUGCUGGAGAUUUUAUUCUUGUAUCGAGUACCGACAAUAUCCCACGGAGUUGGGAACACAUCUUCCCGUGGAACUAGGAAUCUCUUCUAUCCAGUUGUCAGACUCCUUGAAUGUAUGCAUACCUUCUGGGUUCAAAGCAGUGAUAGGAAUCAUACUUGGCUUUCUGAUGGAUUCUGACAUCUUGCAGGAGUUUCUGACUUAGCUUUACUGGCUUUACUAUCUUUCAUAUCCAACCUAUAUCAAAGGUUUGACUGUCGCUUGUCGGGUUUGAUAGAAAAAUGCACCAGUACCUGAUGAUCAUAUUUGCAGACUUGGCUGGUGGUGAUCUUGGCAAAGAAUCCCAUUCAUGGCAAGCUAUUCUGUAAUUGCUCCCCAUGUACGAGAGAUAACAAUCCUUAAAGUAUGUGUUCUCACACUGAUUCUUCAUUUUGCCGGUAUAUCCAUGGGGAGAAUGUUGGAAAUAUGCCCUAGAGGCAACAAUAAAAGGGUUAUUAUUAUAUUUCCUUGUUCAUGAUAAUUGUCUUUUAUUCAUGCUAUAACUGUAUUAUCCGGAAAUCGUAAUACACGUGUGAAUACAUAGACCAUAACAUGUCCCUAGUGAGCCUCUAGUUGACUAGCUCGUUGGUCGACAGAUAGUCAUGGUUUCCUAACUAUGGACAUUACAUGUCAUUGACAACGGGAUCACAUCAUUAGGAGAAUGAUGUGAUGGAGAAGACCCAAUCCUAAGCAUAGCACAAGAUCGUGUAGUUCGUUUUGCUAGAGCUUUUUCGAUGUCAAGUAUCUCUUCCUUAGACCAUGAGAUCGUGCAACUCCCGGAUACCGUAAGAGUGCUUUGGGUGUACCAAACAUCACAAUGUAACUGGGUGACUAUAAAGGUGCACUACAGGUAUCUCCGAAAGUGUCUGUUGGGUUGACACGGAUCGAGACUGGGAUUUGUCACUCCGGUUUACGGAGAGGUAUCACUGGGCCCACUCGGUAGUGCAUCAUCAUAAUGAGCUCAGAGUGACCAAGUGUCUGGUCACGGGAUCAUGCAUUACGGUACGAGUAAAGUGACUUGCCGGUAACGAGACUGAACGAGGUAUUGGGAUACCGACGAUCGAGUCUCGGGCAAGUAACAUACCGUCUGACAAAGGGAAUUGUAUACGGGGUUGUUCGAAUCCUUGACAUCGUGGUUCAUCCGAUGAGAUCAUCGAGGAGCAUGUGGGAGCCAACAUGGGUAUCCAGAUCCCGCUGUUGGUUAUUGGCCGAGAGCUAUCUCGGUCAUGUCUACGUGUCUCCCGAACCCGUAGGGUCUACACACUUAAGGUUCGGUGACGCUAGGGUUGUAUGAAUAUGAGUAUGCAGUAUACCGAAUGUUGUUCGGAGUCCCGGAUGACAUCCCGGACGUCACGAGGAGUUUCGGAAUGGUCCGGAGGUAAAGAACUAUAUAUAGGAAGUGGUAUUUCGGCCAUCGGGAAUGUUUCGGGGUCACCCGGUAUUGUACCAGGACCACCGGAAGGGUCCUGGGGGUCCACCGGCCACCCAUCCCGGAGGGCCCUAUGGGCUGAAGUGGGAGGGGAGCCAGCCCAUAGUGGGCUGGUGCGCCCCCCUAGGCCCACCCCCUGCGCCUAGGGUUGAAACCCUAGGGUGGGGGGGCGCACCACAUGCCUUGGGGGGCACUCCUCCCCCCUUGGCCGCCGCCCCCUUGGGAGAUUGAAUCUCCCAGGGCCGGCGCCCCCCCUGGGGGCCUAUAUAUAAAGGGAGGGGGAGAGGGGCAGUCACACCCUGAAGUCCUGGCACCCCCUCCCCCUGCUACACCUCUUCCUCCUCCGUCACAUGCUUGGCGAAGCCCUGCCGGAGUGCUGCUGUUCCACCACCACCAUGUCGUUGUGCUGCUGCUGGAGCCAUCAUCAUCAACCUCUCCUUCCCCCUUGCUGGAUCAAGAAGGAGGAGACGUCACACGCUCCGUACGUGUGUUGAACGUGGAGGUGCCGUCCGUUCGGCGCUAGGAUCUCCGGUGAUCUGAAUCACGGCGAGUACGACUCCAUCAUCACUGCUCCCUCUAACGCUUCCGUACGCGAUCUACAAGUGGUAUGUAGAUGCAAACUCACUCCCUUGACUCGUUGCUUAGAUGAACUCAUAGAUGGAUCUUGAUGAAACCGUAGGAAAAAUUUUAAUUCUCUGCAACGUUCCCCAACAGUGGCAUCAUGAGCUAGGUCUAUGCGUAGUUCUCUAUUGCACGAGUAGAACACAAUUUUGUUGUCGGCGUAGAUCUUGUCAACUUGCUUGCCGCUACUAGUCUUAUCUUGCUUCAGCGGUAUUGUGGGAUGAAGCGGCCCGGACCAACCUUACACGUACGCUUACGUGAGACCGGUUCCACCGACUAACAUGCACUAGUUGCAUAAGGUGGCUGGCGGGUGUCUGUCUCUCCCACUUUAGUUGGAGCGGAUUCGAUGAAAAGGGUCCUUAUGAAGGGUAAAUAGAAGUUGACAAAAUCACGUUGUGGUUAUUCGUAGGUAAGAAAAUGUUCUUGCUAGAACCCAAUUGCAGCCACGUAAAAGAUGCAACAACAAUUAGAGGACGUCUAACUUGUUUUUGCAGCAAUUGUCAUGUGAUGUGAUAUGACCAGAAGUUGUGAUGAAUGAUGAAUGAUAUAUUGUGAUGUAUGAGAUCAUGUUCUUGUAAUAGGAAUCACGACUUGCAUGUCGAUGAGUAUGACAACCGGCAGGAGCCAUAGGAGUUGUCUUUAUUUUUGUAUGACCUGCAUGUCAUUGAAGAACGCCAUGUAAACUACUUUACUUUAUUGCUAAACGCGUUAGUCAUAAAAGUAGAAGUAGUCGUUGGCGUGACAACUUCACGAAGACACGAUGAUGGAGAUCAUGAUGAUGGAGAUCAUGGUGUCAUGCCGGUGACAAGAUGAUCAUGGAGCCCCGAAGAUGAAGAUCAAAAGAGCUAUAUGAUAUUGGCCAUAUCAUGUCACUACUUUAUAUAAUUGCAUGUGAUGUUUAUUAUGUUUUAUGCAUCUUGUUUACUUAGAACGACAGUAGUAAAUAAGAUGAUCCCUUACAACAAUUUCAUGAAGUGUUCUCCCCUAACUGUGCACCGUUGCUAAAGUUCGUCGUUUCGAAGCACCACGUGAUGAUCGGGUGUGAUAGAUCCUUACGUUCACAUACAACGGGUGUAAGACAGUUUUACACAUGCAAACACUUAGGGUUAACUUGACGAGCCUAGCAUCUAUAGACAUGGCCUCGGAACACGGAGACCGAAAGGUCGAACACGAGUCGUAUGGAAGAUACGAUCAACAUGAGAAUGUUCACCGACAAUGACUAGUCUGUCUCACGUGAUGAUCGGACACGGCCUAGUCGACUCGGAUCAUGUAACACUUAGAUGACUAAGGGGAUGUCAAAUCUGAGUGGGAGUUCAUUAAAUAAUUUGAUUAGAUGAACUUAAUUAUCAUGAACUUAGUCUAAAAUCUUUGCAAAAUAUGUCUUGUAGAUCAAAUGGCCAACGCUCAUGUCAACAUGAACUUCAACGCGUUCCUAGAGAAAACCAAGCUGAAAGAUGAUGGCAGCAACUAUACGGACUGGGUCCGGAACCUUAGGAUCAUCCUCAUAGCUACCAAGAAAGCAUAUGUCCUUGAAGCACCGUUAGGUGACCCACCUGCUCUCCCAGCACUGCAAGACGAUUUGAACGUUUGGCAGACAUGUGUUGAUGAUUACUCCCUCGUUCAGUGUGGCAUGCUUUACAGCUUAGAACCGGGGCUCCAAAAGCGUUUUGAGCAACACGGAGCAUAUGAGAUGUUCAAGGAGCUGAAACUAGUUUUCCAAGCUCAUGCCUGGGUCGAGAGAUAUGAAGUCUCCGACAAGUUCUAUAGUUGUAAGAUGGAGGAAAACAGUUCUGUCAGUGAGCAUAUACUCAAAAUGUCUGGGUUGCACAGCCGCCUGUCCCAGCUGGACAUUAACCUCCUGGAUGAGGCGGUCAUUGACAGAAUCCUUCAGUCGCUCCCACCAAGCUACAAGAGCUUUGUGAUGAACUAUAAUAUGCAGGGGAUGGUGAAGACCAUUCCUGAAGUAUUUUCAAUGCUGAAGUCGGCAGAGGUUGAAAUCAAGAAAGAACAUCAAGUGUUGAUGGUCAAUAAGACCACUAAGUUCAAGAAGGGCAAGGGUAAGAAGAACUUCAAGAAGGACGACAAAGAUGUUGCCGCGCCCGAUAAGCCAGUUGCCGGGAAGAAGUCAAAGAAUGGACCCAAGCCUGAGACUGAGUGCUUUUAUUACAAGGGGAAGGGUCACUGGAAGCAGAACUGCCCCAAAUACUUAGUGGAUAAGAAGGCCGGCAACACUAAAGGUAUAUUUGAUAUACAUGUAAUUGAUGUGUACCUUACCAGUACUCGUAGUAACUCCUGGGUAUUUGAUACCGGUGCUGUUGCUCAUAUUUGUAACUCACAGCAGGAGCUGCGGAAUAAGCGGAGACUGGCGAAGGACGAGGUGACGAUGCGCGUCGGGAAUGGUUCCAAGGUCGAUGUGAUUGCCGUCGGCACGCUGCCUCUACAUUUACCUACGGGAUUAGUUAUAAACCUUAAUGAUUGUUAUUUGGUGCCAAGUUUGAGCAUGAACAUUGUAUCUGGAUCUCGUUUGAUACGAGAUGGCUACUCAUUUAAAUCCGAGAAUAAUGGUUGUUCUAUUUAUAUGAGAGAUAUGUUUUAUGGUCAUGCCCCUAUGGUCAAUGGUUUAUUCUUAAUGAAUCUCGAGCGUAAUGUUACACAUAUUCAUAGCGUGAAUACCAAAAGAUGCAAAGUUGAUAACGAUAGUCCCACAUACUUGUGGCACUGCCGCCUUGGUCACAUUGGUGUCAAGCGCAUGAAAAAGCUCCAUGCUGAUGGACUUUUGGAGUCUCUCGAUUAUGAAUCAUUUGACACAUGCGAACCAUGCCUCAUGGGCAAGAUGACCAAGACUCUGUUCUCCGGAACAAUGGAGUGAGCAACCAACUUGUUGGAAAUCAUACAUAUCGAUGUGUGCGGUCCAAUGAGCAUUGAGGCUCGCGGAGGAUAUCGUUAUGUUCUCACUCUCACUGAUGACUUGAGUAGAUAUGGGUAUGUCUACUUAAUGAAACACAAGUCUAAGACCUUUGAAAAGUUCAAGGAAUUUCAGAAUGAGGUAGAGAAUCAACGUGACCGAAAGAUAAAAUUCUUACGAUCGGAUCGUGGAGGAGAAUAUUUAAGUCACGAAUUUGGUACACACUUUAGAAAAUGUGGAAUCGUUUCACAACUCACGCCGCCUGGAACACCUCAGCGCAACGGUGUGUCCGAACGUCGUAAUCGCACUCUAUUGGAUAUGGUGCGGCCUAUGAUGUCUCUUACCGAUUUACCGCUUUCAUUUUGGGGAUACGCUCUAGAGAUAGUUACAUUCACUUUAAAUAGGGCACCGUCUAAAUCCGUUGAGACAACACCAUAUGAAUUAUGGUUUGGGAAGAAACCUAAGCUGUCAUUUCUAAAAGUUUGGGGAUGCGAUGCUUAGUUCAAGAAACUUCAACCUGAAAAGCUCGAACCCAAGUCGGAAAAAUGCAUCUUCAUAGGAUACCCUAAGGAAACCAUUGGGUAUACCUUCUACUUAAGAUCCGAGGGCAAGAUCUUUGUUGCCAAGAACGGAUCCUUUCUGGAAAAAGAGUUUCUCUCGAAAGAAGUAAGUGGGAGGAAAGUAGAACUCGAUGAAGUACUACCUCUUGAACGGGAUAGUAGUGCAGCUCAGGAAAAUGUUCCUGUGAUGCCUACACCAACUGAAGAGGAAAAUAAUGAUGAUGAUCAAGGUACUUCUGAUCAAAUUACUACUGAACUUCGUAGGUCCACAAGGACACGUUCCGCACCAGAGUGGUACGGCAACCCUGUCCUGGAAAUCAUGUUGUUAGACAACGGUGAACCUUCGAACUAUGAAGAAGCGAUGGAGGGCCCAGAUUCCAACAAAUGGCUUGAAGCCAUGAAAUCCGAGAUAGAAUCCAUGUAUGAAAACAAAGUAUGGACUUUGACUGACUUGCCCGAUGAUCGGCGAGCGAUAGAAAACAAAUGGAUCUUUAAGAAGAAGACGGACGCGGAUGGUAAUAUUACCAUCUAUAAAGCUCGACUUGUCGCUAAGGGUUACGGCAAGUUCAAGGGAUUGACUACGAUGAGACUUUCUCUCCCGUAGCGAAGCUUAAGUCCGUCCGAAUCAUGUUAGCAAUUUCCGCAUACUAUGAUUAUGAGAUAUGGCAGAUGGACGUCAAAACAGCAUUCCUUAACGGUUAUCUUAAGGAAGAGCUGUAUAUGAUGCAGCCGGCAGGUUUUGUUGAUCCUAAGAACGCUAACAAAGUAUGCAAGCUCCAGCGAUCCAUUUAUGGGCUGGUGCAAGCAUCUCGGAGUUGGAACAUUCGCUUUGAUGAAAUGAUCAAAGCGUUUGGGUUUAUGCAGACUUAUGGAGAAGCCUGCGUUUAUAAGAAAGUGAGUGGGAGCUCUGUAGCAUUUCUCAUAUUAUAUGUAGAUGACAUACUUUUGAUGGGAAAUAAUAUAGAAUUCUUGGACAGUAUUAAGGCCUACUUGAACAAGUGUUUUUCAAUGAAGGAUCUUGGAGAAGCUGCUUACAUAUUAGGCAUCGAGAUCUAUAGGGAUAGAUCAAGACGCCUCAUAGGUCUUUCACAAAGCACAUACCUUAAUAAGAUUUUGAAGAAGUUCAAAAUGGAUCAGUCCAAGAAGGGGCUCUUGCCUGUAUUGCAGGGUGUGAGAUUGAGCUCAGCUCAAUGCCCGACCAUGGCAAAAGAUAAAGAAGAGAUGAGUGUCAUCCCCUAUGCUUCAGCCAUAGGAUCUAUUAUGUAUGCCAUGCUGUGUACCAGACCUGAUGUAAACCUUGCCGUAAGUUUGGUAGGAAGGUACCAAAGUAAUCCCGGCAAGGAACACUGGACAGCGGUCAAGAAUAUCCUGAAGUACCUGAAAAGGACAAAGGACAUGUUUCUCGUUUAUGGAGGUGAUGAAGAGCUCGUCGUAAAGGGUUACGUCGAUGCUAGCUUCGACACAGAUCUGGAUGACUCUAAGUCACAAACCGAAUAUGUGUAUAUGUUGAAUGGUGGAGCAGUAAGCUGGUGCAGCUGCAAGCAGAGCGUCGUGGCGGGAUCUACAUGUGAAGCCGAGUACAUGGCAGCCUCGGAGGCAGCGCAUGAAGCUAUUUGGGUGAAGGAGUUCAUCACCGACCUAGGAGUCAUACCCAAUGUGUCGGGGCCGAUCAAACUCUUUUGUGACAACACUGGAGCUAUUGCCCUUGCCAAGGAGCCAAGGUUUCACAAGAAGACCAGGCACAUCAAGCGUCGUAUCAACUCCAUCCGCGAAAAUGUUCAAGAUGGAGACAUAGAUAUUUGCAAAGUACAUACGGAUCUGAAUGUCGCAGAUCCGUUGACUAAACCUCUCUCGCGAGCAAAACAUGAUCAACACCAGAACUCUAUGGGUGUUCGAUUCAUCACAAUGUAACUAGAUUAUUGACUCUAGUGCAAGUGGGAGACUGUUGGAAAUAUGCCCUAGAGGCAAUAAUAAAAGGGUUAUUAUUAUAUUUCCUUGUUCAUGAUAAUUGUCUUUUAUUCAUGCUAUAACUGUAUUAUCCGGAAAUCGUAAUACACUUGUGAAUACAUAGACCAUAACAUGUCCCUAGUGAGCCUCUAGUUGACUAGCUCGUUGGUCGACAGGUAGUCAUGGUUUCCUGACUAUGGACAUUAGAUGUCAUUGACAACGGGAUCACAUCAUUAGGAGAAUGAUGUGAUGGACAAGACCCAAUCCUAAGCAUAGCACAAGAUCGUGUAGUUCGUUUUGCUAGAGCUUUUUCAAUGUCAAGUAUCUCUUCCUUAGACCAUGAGAUCGUGUAACUCCUGGAUACCGUAAGAGUGCUUUGGGUGUACCAAACGGCACAACGUAACUGGGUGACUAUAAAGGUGCACUACAGGUAUCUCCGAAAGUGUCUGUUGGGUUGACACGGAUCGAGACUGGGAUUUGUCACUCCGGUUUACGGAGAGGUAUCACUGGGCCCACUCGGUAGCGCAUCAUCAUAAUGAGCUCAGAGUGACCAAGUGUCUGGUCACGGGAUCAUGCAUUAUGGUACGAGUAAAGUGACUUGCCGGUAACGAGACUGAACGAGGUAUUGGGAUACCGACGAUCGAGUGUCGGGCAAGUAACAUACCGUCUGACAAAGGGAAUUGUAUACGGGGUUGUUCGAAUCCUUGACAUCGUGGUUCAUCCGAUGAGAUCAUCGAGGAGCAUGUGGGAGCCAACAUGGGUAUCCAGAUCCCGCUGUUGGUUAUUGCCCGAGAGCUAUCUCGGUCAUGUCUACGUGUCUCCCGAACCCGUAGGGUCUACACACUUAAGGUUCGGUGACGCUAAGGUUGUAUGAAUAUGAGUAUGCAGUAUACCGAAUGUUGUUCGGAGUCCCGGAUGAGAUCCCGGACGUCACGAGGAGUUUCGGAAUGGUCCGGAGGUAAAGAAUUAUAUAUAGGAAGUGGUAUUUCAGCCAUCGGGAAAGUUUCGGGGUCACCCGGUAUUGUACCAGGACCACCGAAAGGGUCCUGGGGGUCCACCGGGUGGGGCUACCCAUCCCGGAGGGCCCUAUGGGCUGAAGUGGGAGGGGAGCCAGCCCAUAGUGGGCUGGUGCGCCCCCCUAGGCCCACCACCUGCGCCUAGGGUUGAAACCCUAUGGUGGGGGGGCGCACCACAUGCCUUGGGGGGCACUCCUCCCCCCUUGGCCGCCGCCCCCUUGGGAGAUUGAAUCUCCCAGGGCCGGCGCCCCCCCGUGGGGGCCUAUAUAUAAAGGGAGGGGGGAGAGGGGCAGCCGCACCCUGAAGUCCUGGCGCCCCCUCCCCCUGCUACACCUCUUCCUCCUCCGUCAUGUGCUUGGCGAAGCCCUGCCGGAGUGCUCCUGUUCCACCACCACCACGCCGUUGUGCUGCUGCUGGAGCCAUCAUCAUCAACCUCUCCUUCCCCCUUGCUGGAUCAAGAAGGAGGAGACGUCACACGCUCCGUACGUGUGUUGAACACGGAGGUGCCGUCCGUUCAGCGCUAGGAUCUCCGGUGAUCUGAAUCACGGCGAGUACGACUCCAUCAUCACCGCUCCCUCUAACGCUUCCGUACGCGAUCUACAAGUGGUAUGUAGAUGCAAACUCACUCCCUUGACUCGUUGCUUAGAUGAACUCAUAGAUGGAUCUUGGUGAAACCGUAGGAAAAAUUUUAAUUCUCUGCAACGUUCCCCAACAGAGAACAGUCCGUGCGAUGCUCUAGCGUGGUUGCGGAGGUCAAUAUGUUGAGUUGUUCUGUGGUCUGACUUAACAGACUUGGGUAUUCAAUGCUGACAGUUCUGAGCAUACUGUGGACUGAGUUGGUUGCCUUGUUAUGAGGUCCUUACCACAAUGAAGUAUACCUCUCAGGCGUAUCUUCACUUGUUAUGGAAUAUCAGACUGUCUUGGGCAUACAUACCACAUUUUUCACACAAUAACCGGCAUACCUAUAUUGUCGGUCUUGCUCUUUCAUUAUCAUUUUCUUCAUCUGUAUCCUUAACUGAAUGGGUUGGUGUAGGACCUUGAAGUAUGUCUAGAGGGGGGUGAUUAGACUACUUGACCAAUUAAAAACUUAACCUUUUCCCAAUUUUAGAGUUUGGCAGAUUUUAGCUAUCUUAGGACAAGUCAAGCACAAUUCAAGCAAGCAUGCAAAGAGCAUAUGAGCAGCGGAAAUUAAAGCAUGCAACUUGCAAGAAAGUAAAGGGAAGGGUUUGGAGGAUUCAAACGCAAUUGGAGACAAGGAUUUUUUGGCGUGGUUCCGAUAGGUGGUGCUAUCAUACAUCCACGUUGAUGGAGACUUCAACCCACGAAGGGUAACGGUUGCGCGAGUCCACAUAGGGCUCCACCCACGAAAGGUCCAUGAAGAAGCAACCUUGUCUAUCCCACCAUGGUCGUCACCCACGAAGUACUUGCCUCACUAGCGGUAGAUCUUCAUGAAGUAGGCGAUCUCCUUGCCCUUACAAACUACUUGGUUCAACUCCACAAUCUUGUCGGAGGCUCGCAAGUGACACCUAGCCAAUCUAGGAGACACCACUCUCCAAGAAGUAACAAAUGGUGCGUUGAUGAUGAACUCCUUGCUCUUGUGCUUCAAAUGAUAGUCUCCCCAACACUCAACUCUCUCUCAUAGGUUUUGGAUCUGGUGGAAAGAAGAUUUGAGUGGAAAGCAACUUGGGAAAGGCUAGAGAUCAAGAUUCAUAUGGUAGGAAUGGAAUAUCUUGGCCUCAACACAUGAGUAGGUGGUUCUCUCUCAGAAAUGGUAAGUUGAAAGUGUAGGUUUAGUCUGAUGGCUCUCUCCACGAAUGAAGAGGAGGUGGAGGGGUAUAUAUAGCCUCCACACAAAAUCUAACCGUUACACACAAUUUACCAAACUCGGUGGGACCGAUUCAACAGACUCAGUCGGACCGAUUUAGUAAACCUAGUGACCCUUAGUGAUUUUCUGUGGGACUGACAUGCAACUCGGUAAGACCGAUUCGGUUAGGGUUAGGGCAUAACGUAAUCUCAGUAAGACCGAUUACACAAACUCGGUGAGACCGAUUUUGGUAAUAAGCUUUCCAGAGAGUUGGUCAGGUAAAUUCGGUGGGACCGCUUUGCUCUUUUCGAUGUGACCGAAAUGUUACAAAAGGGAAACAGAGAGUUUACAUUGCAAUCUCGGUGGGACCGAUCGCUCACUUCGGUUAGACCGAAACGUUAUGAAUGGAAACAGAGAGAUUACAAUCCCAUCUUGGUGAGACCGAGAUCCCUAUCGGUAGAACCGAUUUGCUUAGGGUUUGUGGCAGUGGCUAUGACUUUUGGAAUCGGUGGCGCCGGACAGGAAGAAUCGGUGUGACCGAUUUUGGCUUUAGGUUUAGGUCAUUUGUGGAUGUGAGAAAGUAGUUGAGGGUUUUGGAGCAUAUCACUAAGCACAUGAAGCAAGAGGCUCAUUAAGCAACACCUCAUCCCUCCUUGAUAGUAUUGGCUUUUCCUAUACACUCAAUGUGAUCUUGGAUCACUAAAAUAUAAAAUGAAGAGUCUUGAGGUUUUGAGCUUGAGCCAAUCCUUUGUACUUAGUAUUUUGAGGGAUCCACUUUCAUCAUCCAUGCCAUGCCAUUCACUGAGCUUUCCUGAAAUAAUAGUCUUGGAAUAGCAUUAGCUCAAUGAGCUAUAUGUUGUUAUGAAUUACCAAAACCACCUAGGGAUAGUUGCACUUUCAAUGUCCCCCUUUUUGGUAAUUGAUGACAACAUAUAGAUCAAAGCUUCGACAAAUGAUAAUAAGAUUGAAAAACAUCGUCGCUUUGAGAAGUAUGUGAUAAGCAAGAGCUCCCCCUAGAUUUGUGCAUAUUUUAAAAUUUGCUUUGGACUGCAAAUGCAUAAGGAAUUAGGCUCAUGGGUUACUCUUCCAUGUCACAUACAUCUUGGUGGAGCGCUAAAAAUAAUGAAGAUUGAAUACAUGCACUCAUCACCAAGCAAAGUGAAUGAUCACAUAGGGUAGAUAGGAUAAUAUCAUCAAACAUGCAUAAGUGUAGCUUAUGAUCAAACACAUGAUCAUCAAUGUCUCACAAGCAUAGUAUCUCAAGCAAUCAAAAGCAAACAAGUUUAACCACAAAAUCAAGAGAGAACAAAAGCAACACUCUCUCUCGAAGCCUAUGAUCUAUACGUUUUUCUCCCCCUUUGGCAACAAGUUACCAAAAAGUUCAUAGAAAAUGCAUAGUGCUAGAUCGACUCUCAGGCUUGAUCUUCAGGUGGUGGUGUCCGGAUAACUCCAAGAACGAAAGCUUCAGUUGUAGUAGAGGGUGCUGGAGUUGAUGCUGGAGCUGGUUGCACUAGAGGAGUAGGGGCUGUAGCUAGUGCAGAAGAUGUUGCUCUGGUGUCUGUCACAAGCACUACAACUGACCUCUGGGCUCUAGGCACUCUGGCAAACACAUUAGUGGUAGUCUUUCCCUGCCUCUCCUGCAUGUCAUCCUGUAGCUGCUCCAUAACUGACUGAAUCUCCGUUACUUUGACAUCAAGGUCAUGGAAUUUGAGUUCCAUUAUUCUUUUCCAAGCUCUUCUGAUUUUUGAGUGAGGGUGGCCAAUCCCUUCUCAAUCCUCAGAGUUGAUGCUAUUAAGAAACCAAGCUGCUCCUGCAUGUUCUUCAAGAAAUACUCAGAUGCCUCCUCUUGAGUUGGCAUCUUGGCAGCCUUCUCCUUCCUUGCCUUCUCCUUCUUCUCUUGAGCUUGAACUGAUGAUGGAUCAUUCUCAUUCAUGAGAACCUGAUUGUCCUCAAAGUAUGGAUAAAGUGGAAAAUGUUCCUUAUCCAAUUGAUAUUUCCCUGUGCCCAUCUUUGAGUUAAUCAACUCCUGAAUCUGAGGGACAUAUCCACAGCUCCUCUUCUGAUCUGCUGCAGUCCUCUUAAUGGUUUCAAUCAUAAGGCUCAUGACCUUAAACUUCUGUGGCACAUCAAACAAAUGCAACAUGUUGAUGGCAUGCCCUCUGAUCAUGUUGUGGUCACCAGACUUAGGCAACAGAGUGUGCCUUAGGAUCCAAUUGAUAGUUGGCAGCCCUGGUAGAAGGAAGUGGACUGAUCCAGACUUAUGUGUCUCUACAGCUUUGUCUGGGAUCUCCUUGUACAUGUGUGCCAUGGAAUGGUGGUCCAUCUUCUUCUUGGCAUAAAUGUCCAGGUCAUCUUCAUCUUCCUUUGGGGCAUUGAUCAGUCUUGCCCAUUCCUCAACAGUGGACUGGUACCUUGUACCUUCAGACAUCCAAACUAUCCUCCCAUCUGGAUAGAAGUGUGCUAUGGAGUAGAAUUGCAUGAUAAGUUCAUCAUUCCAGUUGGUGAGCUUUUGCCCAACAAAAUCAGCAACUCCACAAGCAACAAAACUGUCUUGCACUCCAGGAUAGUGCUCUUCAUUGUCCUUUAUGUAGGUCCAGUCGACCCACCUCAUAUCACACACUAUGGGCUUCUUAUCCAACAAGAUUGUCUCAUAGAAGUCCUGUUGUUCCUUUGUAUGGAACCUGUAAUCAACAGCAGUUCUUCUCCUUGAGGCAUAUGGAUCUUCCAUCCUCCAUAUCCUCAACCCUGAGUCCUUCCUGAUCCUCAUGUCCUCAGCCACAGGAUGGGCAUCAUUGUGGUCUGGUAUCUUGGGCUUGAGCUUCCUUAGGACCUGUCCUUCUUCAUCUUCCUCAUCAGCAACAUUAGGCACUGGGGCCUUGUUCUUCUCAACAGCUGGAAUACUCAUGGCAUUCCUCUUUGGUGCAAGCUUGGCCUUGGGGGCAGCUUUGGGUGCUUCCUUGGGCAUAGAUGUUGCAGCCCCUGAUCUAAUAGCAUCACCCAUAAGCUUUGGUGCCUUGGGUGCUGGUGCAGUAACCUCUUCUUCCUCUUCAGAGUCUCUUCUCAUUGAGGGCUUUCCAAGAACCUGGGCAGUUGUGGUUCUUGCUCUCUUCUUCUUCUUGUCCUGAGCAGCUUCAUCCUCUGAUUCAAUGGUAAACUUCAUAGUUCCUCCAGUGGGAACUUUCUUGGAUUUGGAAGUUGUGACUUUCUUUGCAGGUGCCUCUUUGGAUUCAGUCUGUUCUGGCACUUGAGUGGACCUUCUGACCUUCGGCAUAGGUGUCGUCUUGGCAGGAACUUUCUUAUUCAGUCCAGGCUUUGUGCUAUGUGCUGAGCCAUACUCCUUUUUGAGCACUACUUUCUUGGAAGUAGCCUCAUCCUCUUCAGCUCUAUAGUCCUCAUCUUCAGAGUCUGAAGUUCUUUUCCUCCUUUGCCUGGUAGCAGCCUUAGGAAGAUUACUUGGGGUGCUUCUGCUACCUUCAUGUGAAGUGCUAGAGGGACUAGUGCCCUUACUCAUGUCAAUCUGCUCUUCUGACCUAUUAUGGCUGUCACUCUGGUCUAACAUGCUGCAAACACUGACUGCUGACCCUGUGAAGAGCUAUCGAUGAGGUAGAAUGGAUGAGCAUCACAAAAUGCAAAGAUUUUUGCAAAAGAAUGAUUCAAAAAUUCAGUUUUAGUUUUCCACAGAAAGCAUUUUGGAUCAACCGAUUUUCAAACUUGGUGAUACCGAAGCAGUUUUGGAACCUAAACUGAUGAACUCAGUUGGACCGAGUCACAGUUCGGUGGCUCCGAGACUACUAGGGUUUCACAAAGUCUUAAAAUCGGUCUCACUAAUUAGCAAUUCUCGGUCAGACUAAGAGUUACUAGUGCAAUGGCAUAAGCCAAAUUAGUGGGACCGAGUUUUUCAACUCGGUGGGUCCGAGAUGGUUUCGGCGGAAACCUAACCCUAAAAUUUCGAAUCUCAUCUAAUCUACGGACUGCAUUGAGUGGAUAGGAGUGUUUCAAUCGUGGCAAGAAUCAAUAAGAACACAAUGUGCUAGGAAUCGGACGAGGAUAGCACAGUGAUCGAGUCCAUACCCUAGCUUGGCGAUGAACUCGCUACGGCGGCAACGGCGGGGUUGAAAUCCGUUAACGGCAGCGGAGACCAGCGACAGGGGGCGGCUGGCGACGAGGAGACGAUCCGGAGACCUUGGAGGCAGAGCGAGCUAUUGCGCGGGCGAAGGGGUUCGGAGGAAUUUCCAAAUUUUUUCCCGUGACUAUAUAUAGCCCGACCCUGUCGGUGUGACCGAUUGGAACAACUCGGUGGCACCGAGAUGCAUAACUGUGUACAGUUACAGCAACUCGAUGUGACCGAAAAGUUCAAAUCGGUUGCACCGAGAUGGAAAACUUAGAUCAACUUAAUGAUCUCAGUAGGACCGAAAUGGAGGAAUCGGUCAGACCGAGAAUCACAAAGAAGUUUUGGAAGUGUAAGUCUAUGAUGAAUCGGGGACUCCGAGUGCUCCUCACACAGAGUGGUUCGAAUCUGACUUGAUCAAUUUUUGUGACGUAGCAUGAAUAGAGUUUGAGACGAGAAAAGCAUAGAUAGCUAGAGAAUGUUCUUAGGCAUUCUUGUCCAUCCACUUGGCAAAAAUAAAAAAAGUCAAACAAUCAAAACAACAAGUGGAUGUCCUUGAAUGAGUAAAAUAUGCACCAACAUGCUCACACAAUAAGAUGGCAAAUGAAAUAUGUGGCAAAGCAUGCACAACCAAUUCUAGCAUCUAUCAAACAAUUGGCGAUGACUAGGUCAUCUAUAUAUGAGUAUAUUGACUUAGGAGUCAAAUGAAAAAACAUUUGAUCAUAGGUCAUAAUCAUCGUUUAAGCUCAAGUGGGGUUACCACUUUUACAUAAUCCAUUGAUGUGUUCACACCAUUAGAGUUGCUUUGACUCAAUUCUUAGAGUUAAGCCCCCCCUAGAUGUGAGAUCCCCUUUUAGAGGGAUGAACUAACCUUGGGUUUUGUCGAAUAUCACUUCAUGUAGGUGUUGAAGAUGUGGAUGCUCAAUGUUGAUGUAGAUCAUUUGGAGCAAUCCUUUGGGUGAGUUGCACUUUCAACUUACCUACAUGGGUUAGUCCCACAAGGAACAAACAAGAAUAUCCAUAGACAUAGAGUGAUGCACACACAAGAUGAUGUCCAUGAAAUCAUUAGGUUACCUUGUCCCUUGCCUUACCAACAUGAGGGUUUGUGACUCCUUGAACUAGUGCAAGAUGUGGAAGUUGAUUGCACUUGUUCUUGCCAUAAUGAUAUGAGUGAAGAAUGUUGGCGGAGUCACCCUCAAGAACUCUCUAGUUCUUCUUCUUCGGGGUCCACAUCAUCUUGAUGGGAAUCCUUGGAGUUGUAGUUGUACUUGAUGAAGUAGAACUUGACGUAGUCUUGGGAACCCACUUGAACAAGGCCUUAGGUGCUUCUUCAAAUGCAUCAAUCUCUUCUUGAAGCAUGUCCUUGCCUUUGUUCUUGUGGUCUUGGGGUGGAAGAUCAUCUUGUGCUUGUGUUCCCUUGAAAGAAGUAGGAUCAUACUCCUCUUGUUGAGGAACAAACUUCGUCUUGGGGUAUUGAUCUUCUUCCCACUCAACUCCAUUGGCAUUGAACUUUCAUUCAAAACCAACACCUUGAUUCUUCCGGUGCCUUCCUUGCUUGCGUACAAUUUCCUUGAAUUGCUUACUCCCAGCAAGGCUCUUGUAAACACCUUUCUCUAUAAUUCCCUUCAAUAAGCUAUUUUCUUGCUCAAGUGUAACUUGGCUAAGAGAAUCAUUAGUGGAAUCAAGAGAACUACUAGAAGCAACAAUAUUGGAUUUGACAUUAUUAUUAUUGUUACUACUAGAGGAAGUAUCUUUCUUGUACUUGUUACUAGACUUGACUUGAGGCAUGUAAGUAGAUAAGAGUGAACGCUUGGCAAUGUAAGAAGAACUUUUCUUACGGAGAUCAUCAUUGAUUGCUUUUAAGAACUCAUGCUCUUGCUCAAGAUUGAGCUUUUCAAAGUGUAACUUCUCAUGAGCCCUUAAAAGUUCUCGAUGAUCUUCGAAGAUAGUUUCAUGAGCCAACUUAAGAGUGUUUAGUUCUUUAGUUAGAAGCUCAAUCUUCUCCUUAUCAUUGUCAUUCGUUUUAUCUUGAUUAGCAUGAUUAAUUGACGUUUCAUCAUAGUAUUCAUCACUAGAGUUGUCAACAAGUAAAUCAUCAUCCACAAGCAAGUCAUCUUCAUCACUAUUGAAAUCAACAUACACAGGAUGUGUUACCUUUGAACCUUUGGCCAUGAAGCAUCUUCCAAUUCCUUCAUUUGGUGAAUAAAAUAUGUCGUAGGAGUUGGUCGACACAAGUGCUAGACGGGCAACAGCUUCAUCUUGAGUAUAUUCGGAGUCGGAGUGAUAGCUUCUCUCAGAGUGAUUGUCGGAGUCGGAGCCGGAUACCCAUUCACUAACAUGAGCUUGAUGUCUUUGUUUUGUGUAGCUCCUUGAUGACCUGUCCUUCCUCUCCGAAUCCUUGCUUCUCCGUGAGGGUCUUCGUUCAUAACGAUCAUCUCUACUCCUCCUCUCUCUUGGUGGUGAUUCUUCUCUUUUGCUUCUUCUUCUUGGAGAAUCUUCUCUUCUUUUGUAGGGUGUCGUACACUCAUUGGAAUAGUGUCCGGGUCUCCCACAAUUGUAGCAAUUGCGCUCUUGACUUGAAGAACUUUUGUCAUUGUAAGACCUUGACUUGGAGCUUCUUUCUUUGCUUCUACUCUUGUAGAAUUUGUUGAAGUUCUUCACCAUUAAGCUCAAUUCUUCAUUGAAGGUUUGUUUCUCACUUGAUGAUGUGGGGGCUUCACUUGAGGCUUUGUAAGCACCACUUGACUUGUUGUGAAGUUCCUCCUUCUCCUUGAGAGACAUCUCAUGAGCAAAAAUUCUUCCAAUGACUUCCACUUGGCUUGAGAUCUUUGUAGUUUGGCAUCAUUUGGAUCAAUGUUCACACGGUAUCAUACUUUCCAUCCAAUGCUCUUAGUAUCUUCUUGAUGAUGAAUUUGUUGGUCAUCUCUUCACUCCCUAAGCCGGCAAUCUCAUUUGUGAUAAGAGCAAGCCUAGAGUACAUUUCAGCGACACCUUCACCAUCCUUCAUUUUGAACUUCUCAAGCUGACUUUGGAGCACAUCCAACUUGGAUGCCUUGACGGAUUCGGUACCUUCAUGCAUAUCAAUCAAAGUAUCCCAAAUUUCCUUUGCAUUCUCAAGACGGCUGAUUUUGUUGAAUUCUUCGGGGCACAAUCCGUUGAAGAUGAUAUCACAAGCUUGAGCGUUGUAUUGCAGCAUCUUCAAUUCUUCUGCAUUAGCUUCACGGUUCGGUUCUCUCCCAUCAAAGAAUUCACCUUGCAAGCCAAUACAAAUAAUUGCCCAAACGGCGGGGUUAUGUCCGAGAAUAUGCAUUUUCAUCUUAUGCUUCCAACUAGCAAAAUUAGCACCAUCAAAGUAAGGAUCUCUACAGUGAUAAUUUCCCUCGCUAGACACCAUACUCUCCUAGGUUGUGAAACCAAGGCUAUGACCACCAAAAGCUAUGGAAAUCAAAGCAAAUGGAGACCAAAGCUCUGAUACUACUUGUAGGACCUUGAAGUAUGUCUAGAGGGGGGGGUGAUUAGACUACUGGACCAAUUAAAAACUUAACCUUUUCCCAAUUUUAGAGUUUGGCAGAUUUUAGCUAUCUUAGGACAAGUCAAGCAAUCAUCACACAAUUCAAGCAAGCAUGCAAAGAGUAUAUGAGCAGCGGAAAUUAAAGCAUGCAACUUGCAAGAAAGUAAAUGGAAGGGUUUGGAGGAUUCAAAUGCAAUUGGAGACACGGAUGUUUUUGGCGUGGUUCCGAUAGGUGGUGCUAUCGUACAUCCACGUUGAUGGAGACUUCCACCCACGAAGGGUAACGGUUGUGCGAGUCCACUUAGGGCUCCACCCACGAAGGGUCCACGAAGAAGCAACCAUGUCUAUCCCACCAUGGCCGUCGCCCACGAAGGACUUGCCUCACUAGCGGUAGAUCUUCACGAAGUAGGCGAUCUCCAUGCCCUUACAAACUCCUUGGUUCAACUCCACAAUCUUGUCGGAGGCUCCCAAGUGACACCUAGCCAAUCUAGGAGACACCACUCUCCAAGAAGUAACAAAUGGUGCGUUGAUGAUGAACUCCUUGCUCUUGUGCUUCAAAUGAUAGUCUCCCCAACACUCAACUCUCUCUCAUAGGUUUUGGAUCUGGUGGAAAGAAGAUUUGAGUGGAAAACAACUUGGGAAAGGCUAGAGAUCAAGAUUCAUAUGGUAGGAAUGGAAUAUCUUGGCCUCAACACAUGAGUAGGUGGUUCUCUCUCAGAAAUGGUAAGUUGGAAGUGUAGGUUUAGUCUGAUGGCUCUCUCCACGAAUGAAGAGGAGGUGGAGGGGUAUAUAUAGCCUCCACACAAAAUCUAACCGUUACACACAAUUUACCAAACUCGGUGGGACCGAUUCAACAGACUCAGUCGGACCGAUUUAGUAAACCUAGUGACCCUUAGUGAUUUUCUGUGGGACUGACAUGCAACUCGGUAAGACCGAUUCGGUUAGGGUUAGGGCAUAACGUAAUCUCAGUAAGACCGAUUACACAAACUCGGUGAGACCGAUUUUGGUAAUAAGCUUUCCAGAGAGUUGGUCAGGUAAAUUCGGUGGGACCGCUUUGCUCUUUUAGGUGUGACCGAAAUGUUACAAAAGGGAAACAGAGAGUUUACAUUGCAAUCUCGGUGGGACCGAUCACUCACUUCGGUUAGACCGAAACGUUAUGAAUGGAAACAGAGAGAUUACAAUCCCAUCUUGGUGAGACCGAGAUCCCUAUUGGUAGAACCGAUUUGCUUAGGGUUUGUGGCAGUGGCUAUGACUUUUGAAAUCGGUGGCGCCGGAUAGGAAGAAUCGGUGUGACCGAUUUUGGCUUUAGGUUUAGGUCAUUUGUGGAUGUGAGAAAGUAGCUGAGGGUUUUGGAGCAUAUCACUAAGCACAUGAAGCAAGAGGCUCAUUAAGCAACACCUCAUCCCUCCUUGAUAGUUUUGGCUUUUCCUAUAGACUCAAUGUGAUCUUGGAUCACUAAAAUAUAAAAUGAAGAGUCUUGAGCUUUUGAGCUUGAGCCAAUCCUUUGUCCUUAGUAUUUUGAGGGAUCCACUUUCAUCAUCCAUGCCAUGCCAUUCAUUGAGCUUUCCUGGAAUAAUAGUCUUGGCAUAGCAUUAGCUCAAUGAGCUAUAUGUUGUUAUGAAUUACCAAAACCACCUAGGGAUAGUUGCACUUUCAGCUGGGCCUUAUAUACCCUUGAUUAUUUUGCGACCCUUAGUAGUGUCAUGUGCAAUAUCUUGCAAUCAUACCUUGGUCUUGUUCAUGUAUGGUGUCUCCAUACAUCUUCCAAGUUCACGUGGGCUUAUAUAGAUCUCAUUACUGUUGCUGACUAUGUCGGACAGUGACAGGAUUAAUAACAUCACCUUGUCGGGGUGCGGGAUCUGACCUGGAUACUUACUGCCAAGAUUAUUGCCUUAAUGUUGUCUUUCUUCUAGACUUGUCCAUUCUUGCAUCACCCACUGGUUUUCCUUCACUUACAUAUCAAGUGAGGUUGUCGGAUGCAUACCGGAAAUUGUUCCUUGUGUGAGGGACUUGCAUGAACUCGACAGCAUACUCACUGUAUGAAUAAAUAUAUAAUUCUGGGGAUAUACCUUUGUGCUGACUGAUUCUUGCUUCCAACUUAACUGUUGCAGAUUUGCCGCUUGGAAAACACUGCCAUAUGCUGACAAUCCAGUGUUUAUUUUCUUGUACCAGUGCUGUACUGAAGAAGACUGCACAGCUUGAUAGCUUGUGCUGCGGAACACUGGAUAGCUUGUGCUCAAAUCUUUCUGUGGAAAUCUUGCUGAGGAAAACUGGGUACCGUACCUCGUAAGCUUCACCCUUAAAGACUUACUAGGGAAGACUCGGUACCUUAUGCCAGAAGCUUUUGCAGUAUCCAAUUGAAAUGACUGAAUAUCUUGCACUAGAAUCCAUUCAUACCUUUCUGAUGCAGACUGGUGAAUCGUGUCUUGUAUGCUUUGCUGAUAAAUUGUUGAGAAGGACUGGACUGAUUUUCUUCAUGAACGGAACAGCAUAUAUAUAUUCUUGUCAUUCCGGCAUGCUGAUUACUUGUAUGACAAAAAUUGACUGACUGUCCUUGCUGGAUUCAUUGCAUAUUUGGACUGACUUUUGGAUGUCGCAUGCUUCAAAUCUGACUAUUGGCAGAAUCAAUCAUUGUGUACGAACCAUACCUUUGACUUGAAAUGCAAUGUCGGACUUGGAUCCAAUUUGGUUCUCCUCCUGAUUUAAUCAUUGCUGCAAUGAAGCUGUAUCUCUAACGUGUACUUGUUAUUGAAAGUCUAAGCAGAAUAUACUUGUAUUCAGAUCGGAUGUCUGUAAUACAAUGUUGUGAGCUGAAAAUCUCAUUGCCUUGAACUGAGUUCCUUGAUGUAUCUAUGUACUUCUCAAGGCUUCUUCUGAUCUGGUGUCGGUUGAUGAGCAAUUUCCAUAAGGGGGUAACAUCAAAGAUUCAAAUAAAGAGGCACGAGAAAACAAUCGAUUGCAAUAAAGCACAUAGCAAAAAAGCUACAAGACUAAUCCACACAGGCACACACAAGCACACAUAAGCAUAAACAAGCAAUGAUACUAGAGCAGGUGCACAUUCACUACACGAAGGACUACACCCUACGUGUGAGCAAACGCUCGGGGACUGAUGAAGAAGCUAAGAGAGUAGCGAGUGGAACUGCUGACUCCAAAACUCCGGAUGGAUGAGGCGGUGGGGUUGAAGAAGCUGGCGGAGAUUGAGGCAGGGAAGCACCAAGCAAUCUCCUGGCUCGGAUGGCGUCUCGGACUAAUUCAAAAAUAAGAAGACACUCGACCAUCAUGUAACGGGACAUGGCGAAGACAACCGGGUCCUCUUGGGGGUUGACAGACGUGAACUUGAUCCGCUUAGGAUUCUCGACAAUGGUGGGAUAGAAUUGAUAGGCUCGGUUCUCUUACACCAUGCUCUCUUGAUGACAAGAACGAUGAUGGCUGCCAUAGCGGCAAGCUGAACGGCACGCUCGGGAGUAGCGCCAUAACCACCAUGGAAAAUGUAGGUGCGCUUACCAAUAGGGAUCGGGGCUGAUAGACGGACAUGGGCAACAUACUCCAGGAUCCUUCCUCCGGUAGAAAACUGGAAUACUUGAUAAUGGGGUGGAUCCCCGUGGGGAUAAAUGCUACACCAAAUGUUGCCAAGGAGGGUGGCAAAGCUAAGAGGUGCAGGAGUGGGACUGAAAGCAAUAGGAACAACAUCGGGAGCUCUGGGAAGGGCACUGAACUCAUGGAAGCUGACCGCCAUCUACGAAACAGUGGUUACGGGUAACUGAAUAAGACUAUAUGCAGCAAACAAAUUCAAAAACCAAAUGCAGCAAACCAGGGCAACAACCAGACCCUAUACUACCAUUUUCUAAUUUUCCAGUGGACUAGAACGCUCUAUAACCAGACCUGCUCUGAUACCAAGCCUGUGGCGCCCCAACUCAGAGAAACAGGAACACCCAUAUUCCAUCCUAGAGAUUGAGGUGAAGUCUUCUGGAAUAUGGCACUGCUUAGCAUAGAACAAACCAGCUCUCUAUUACAACACGGAUACGAAUACAAGGUUGCCGAUAUUACAAUGAAUAACACCGGCACAGCGACACUACGCGAACCACAAUUGCUCUAUGCAAGCAGAAUAACAACUCGAGGCAGCAGAACCUCUACUAGCAGCGGAACAACUAUUGGCAGCGGAACAACGAACAUCGAUGAUGGACUCCAAUCCGCAGGGACUCUGGCUGGAACGUUUAUCCUAUCUCGCGAAUACGGGAACCGCACCAAACAAGCAAGAAAUCGAGGCACGACCGGCAAACUAGCAUGACACGCCAGGUCAGUACAUUGAAUGUACUUGCAAGCCCACAGUAACUGAAAGCAUUCAAGACAAACAACAACAUGGCAUUAACAGGUUAAAACAAUCAUGAACAUGAUACUAGCAGAACAACAUGGCAUGCACAAUGGAACAUGAUACAAUUCUAACAUGGCAUGAUCACAUGAACAUGAUGAUACUACAUGUAGCAGGUUAACAUAAUCAUGCACCAACUUACUCUGCUCGGGUUACCUCAUAACCAAAACAUGCAUUACUUACCACCGUGGACAUCACAUGAUCAUCUCAAGAUCAAAUUGUUGGCAUUCUGGAUACGGGGGUGCCCAGACUUGCCUGCCUGCGGCCCACUACAUGGCUCCAUUGACGGCCUGGUACGACCCAGUUUCAGCAUCAACAACCCAAGACCCUCGCGAGGGGCCAAGCCUCAUGAGGAAUACGGCACCAAGACCUCUAAGGGGAUCAGCCUCCUCAGGCUGGCUCCCGAGGAGCGGAGACUUCUAUGCAAGGUACACCUCACGAGGCUCAGCCGAUGUGAGCCAUGACGAUCAAGGCCAGACGGGUGCCAGGUGGGCGCCAGAGGGCGCAGAGCACCAGUUUCCUUUUUGGUGAAAGGAGGCAAGCAGUAGGCGCGGAGUCCCGAGGAAUCUGCCAAAGGUUUCCAUUCUGGUGCAACAAGACAAAGAACACUGAUAGCACAUUUAUGCAUAUAGUAUUUUUAGCCUUUUUGAGUCACAAAUUAAACAUAUGAUCUCAGUAAUCACUCAUAAAGUAUUCAUUCCUACAGAAAUAUUCCUAUUGUGAUAUUUUUACAACACUUAUUCAUUUUUUGCAGGACUGGUGCGUUUAGGCACCCAAAUUUCAUCGAAAAUGCUUUCAACACUAAAGCGGGAUCAACCUGGAGAAGAGUUCAGUUCUUGAGGGGGCAAAACCGAAAAGUACCAGAGGAGCUGGGGUCUGGCGCGACACACCAGACGUGGUGUCUGAUCCUACACGCGACUGAACCACCAAGAAGAGGAGUGGGGGUCCAAGGAAAAAUAACCCGGGGGCCGACUGCUCUCGCUCUCCACGCUGCUCACCUACCACCAGAUCGAACCAAAGGAACACCAGAUCGGAGGGGGAGAAAAAGGGGAUCGAGGGAAGCAAGAAGGAGAACUAGAUCAAAUCCAAGACUCCUUUCUUCCUCUCCACGCUGCUCACCCACGAUUGGAUCGAAGGAGGGAAGAGAAGGGAUCAAGGGGAACGAGAGGAACCAGGAGAGCGAGGGUUUCGGGAGGCUGGCGGCCUGGCUUAUCCACCGCGAGGCCUCUCCGCCCUGACCGACGCCCGUGCUGCUCUUCUCCGCCCUACCCCGACGACCGCUGCUGCUCUUGCUCCAACCUCGACGACCGCUGCCGCUUCUGCUCCAACACCGAUGACCGCGCUGCUCUGCUUCAACUCCGUCGCCCGUUGCUGCUGUUGUUCUGCUAUAGAUCGUCUCCAAUGUGCCCCUGCUGUUCUUCUUCGCCGCAACAUCUACAACUUCGAAUUGAAUAUCACCAAGACCAUAGGCUAUGAACUUCUCUCUUCUCUUGUUCCUAUUCUCUGAGUAUAUGCACCGUUGGGUCUGAAAUUUACUCUGUUACCUGUGCACCUUUGCUGAAACCUCAUGUAUCCUUGCUGAAUUGUUGUGAUCCUUGGCUGGAUAUUAAGUUAGUAGUUAUUCUCCUGUGAGCUGUUGUCACUUUAAUUGGUUGCAUGAGUUGCGUGUGAUAUCUGAACCAUCUUCCAUGUGCUAGUGUUACUUGUCUGUUUGCUUACAAGAAAAUCACUAAAAAGAGAAGGUCCUAUUUCUGAACCCUUUUACCCUUGCUACAUAUUAUUUUGUUUUACCUUGUUCCAGUAGCUGCUUGUUGUCACUUCGGUUGGAUUCAUCUGUUCAGUUGUUCUGAAUGCUUCAAAUGUGUGCUCCGAAGUUCUAGAUCCCUGUGGAGAGCACGACAUCCGUAGUUCGGGGUGUAAAAACCCCGCUAUAUUACAAACGAUCAUUUUGGCGCCGUUGCCGGGGAUCUAAAUUUCAUUAGCACAUUAGUAGAAGCAGAUCGGGAUUUAUUUUAGGUCGAUUACGUCGUAUUGCUAGCAACUAACCAUUUCCUAACAUUGUCUGCAGUUUUGAGAAAACUAGCGUGUGUCAAUUUCAGGAACUUUACAGGAAAUUGUCUUAUGCUUCAACCUGAACAUUCACUAGAGCCAUUUGAUCCAUAAAUUGAAAGGACUUUAUUGAGAAGAAUAAGAGAGAAUCAAACACGGUUUCAAGUUGCUGAAACUUUGCAAGAUCAAGAAGAAGAAAAGAUGCCUGAUCCAGUAGCUCUGCUCAGGGACUUGUGGAUCCCAAGAGAUCAUGGGAUAUCAGGAGAAAUGGUGCAACCAAUUAUUUAGGCGAACAAUUUUGAAUUGAAGCCUACUCUGAUUAACAUGGUACAAUAGUCCAGAUUUGGUGGAACAGCUUUAGAAGACCCACAUGAGCAUAUAAGGACUUUCUUGGGGUAUUGUAACACCCUCAAGCAAAAUGGAGUUUCACCGAGGGCUAUCAGAUUAUCACUAUUUCCAUUUUCCUUGAGAGAUGGAGCAAGAGUAUGGCUUCACUCAUUGCCUGAACAUCUGAAGGAUACUUGGGAGACUUUAUUGCAGACAUUUCUUGAGAGAUACUUUCCACCAACAAAAGCUGCUGAAUACAGGGACAAGUUAACAAGGUUCACUCAAUAUGAUGGAGAGAGUUUGUAUGACGCAUGGCAAAGAUUCAACUCUUUAAUCAGAAUGUGUCCUUAUCAUGGUUUAGAAAGAUGGCUGGUGUUACAAACCUUUUACAAAGGACUGUCUACUCAGACUAGAGCUUUUGUCGAUUCUGCUGUUGGAGGAGGAAUCAUGAACAAAACCCUUGAUGAAGCAUUUGCAUUGAUUGAAAGUAUGGCGUCUCAUCAUUUCCAAUGGUCAAGUGAAAGAGCAAUAGCACCACCACAUCUUGGUGUGUACAAUGUGUCUGCAAAUGAUAGCAUGGCGGCUCAGAUUGACAUCUUAAACAAGAAGAUGGAUAGUAUCAUGUCAAAUUGCAUCGGUACAUCUGUAGCUUCAGUAAGUGUGCCUCAAAUGUGCGAUGUAUGUGGCCAAGCAGGUCAUCCUUCAACAGAAUGUACCUUCUAUUCAGCAAUUGGAUCAUCGGUUUCAGAAGUAAGUUAUGCCCAAAGUCAAGGUCCAUUCUCAAACAGCUACAAUCCUUCAUGGAGGAAUCAUCCAAACUUGUCGUACAAGAACAAUCAGUCAUAUGCAAGUGGAUCGACAAUACAAGGAAAUCGACCACCAAAUCAUCCAAGUCAAUUUCAAGUGCCGAGGCAGAAUGAACAAAAAAAUGUUCAGUCAAAUGGAAUGGAGGAAAUCAUGAAAAUGCAGUUGGAAUUGAUGAGCAAGAUGACAAAUGAAGUUAAUGGCUUAAAGGAUAAUGUUAAGAUGCUUGUGAGCAAAAUGGAUAGUAUGGUGGGAGAAAAUGAAGCAAGGCUGCCUGCGCAACCAAUUCCAAACCCGAAAGCUCACUAUGGGGCAAUAUCUUCAGUUGAUGCAGUGACUACAAGGAGUGGAGUUAUGUCAGGACCAUUACUACCUACUCCGAAGACAUAUGUCCCUCCUGCUAUGAGGCCAAGUUCAUCCGGAACUCCACCUUUAACAUCAUCGGAGAAACUAAAGGAGAAAGAAGUUGAUAACCGAAUUGAAACUGAAGUCGAAUUUCCUGGUUUUCAAACAAGAGCUGAGCCUUUGCUAGAGGAAGCAAUAACAACCAACAACAUUCCUUUUCCUGAGCGGUUCAACAAAUCCAAAGAUGACAAGCAAUUUGCCAAAUUCUUGGAAACUAUGAAGGGAGUUCAGAUUACCAUUCCUAUUCUUGAAGCUGUCCUGCAUGUUCCAAUGUAUGCCAAAUAUUUCAAGGAAUUGCUAACAAAGAAAAGAAGCAUGUCUGAGCCAGAAGUAGUGACUUUAUCAAAGGAAUGCAGUGCGAUAAUUCAGAAUUCCAUGCCUGAAAAAUUGGAUGAUCCAGGAAGCUUUUGUGUUCCAUGUGUGAUUGGAAACAAAACUUAUAGUGCUCUGUGUGAUUUGGGCUCAAGUGUUAGUGUGUUACCACAUUCAGUUAGCAAAAGGAUGAUCUUGGGAGAAUUAAAUCCAACAGCCAUAACUCUUCAGUUAGCUGACAGAACAUAUAGGAAACCUGUUGGAAUUCUUGAGGAUGUUCCAAUCAAAGUUGGGAAGUUUGCUUAUCCGGUUGACUUUGUAGUGCUAGAUAUGGAGGACAAAAGUGAGGCUGUGAUCCUUGGAAGACCAUUUUUGGCCACAGCUGGUGCACUUAUUGAUGUCCAAGAAGCUAAAUUGAGCCUGAGGUUUGGAAAUGAAAAGGUGGAGUUUGACAUGAAGCAUGCAACACAUGUUCCGCAAGAAGAAAAGCACUGCUACAAAAUUGAUACACUACAGAAAUGUGUGGAAGAAGGCUAUGAAGAGAGGUAUUGAAGUAAUUGUUGUGAAGUAGUUGAGGAGGACAAUAGUGAAAUAAGAUAUGAAGAAAUCAGACCUGUUAGCAUAUUGGAAAGCAGUACAAGGCCACUAGAUAAGAUGCAACCAAGGCAAAUAGAAAUGAAACAACUUCCGGAAAGUUUGAAAUAUGCAUUCUUAGAUAAUGACAAUCAGUAGCCAAUUAUCGUGAAUAGGGAGUUGACGGAAAGGCAAAUAAAAGUGCUUCAAGCAGUUUUGCAAAAGUACAAGGAUGUUAUUGGAUAUUCAAUUGAAGAUAUGAAAGGGAUAAAUCCUGCUGUCUGCUCUCAUAGGAUUUACUUGAAAGAAAGCAGUGUACCAAUUAGAGAAAGUCAAAGAAGAUUAAAUCCCCAUUUGCAAGAGGUUGUUAAAAAGGAGAUUCUUAAAUUGCUCUCUGCCGAUAUCAUAAUACCCAAUUUCGGACAUCGAGUGGGUGUGUCCCAUUCACAUGGUGCCCAAGAAAGGAGGAAUAGCUGUCAUUGAAAAUGAACAAGGGCAAACGAUUCCUAGUAGGACUAUCACAGGGUGGGGAAUGGUCAAUGAUUUCAGAAAGUUAAAUGAAGUGACGAGGAAGGACCAUUUUCAUUUACCUUUCAUUGACCAAAUGCUGGAAAGGCAUGCUAGGCAUGAAUAUUUCUGCUGCUUAGAUGGGUAUUCAGGAUUCUUGCAAAUCCCAAUUCAUCCGGAUGAUCAAGAUAAAACAACUUUCACUUGCCCAUACGGAACAUUUGCUUACAAAAGACUAGCCUAUGGACUUUGUAAUGCACCCCCAACAUUUCAAAGGUUUAUGCUCUCUAUAUUCUAUGAUAUGAUAGGAAUCAAAGUGGAGGUGUUCAUAGAUGAUAUUACAGUCGUUGGGAAAAGUUAUGAGGAUUGCUUGAAUAAUUUGGCAGCAGUUCUUCAGAGGUGUUCAGAACACAAUCUAGUCUUAAACUGGGAGAAGUGUCAGUUUCUUGUGAAGGAAGGAAUUAUUUUGGGACAUUUGGUAUCUGAAAGAGGAAUUGAGGUUGAUCAAGCAAAAGUUGAAGUAAUACCAAAACUUCCACCACCUGUAAAUGUGAAGGGAGUAAGGAGCUUUUUGGGACAUGCUGGGUUCUAUAGAAGAUUCAUAAAGGAUUUCUCCAAGAUAGCCAAACCCCUCACUAAUCUCCUAAACAAUGAUGUUAAGUUCAACUUUGAUGCAGAAUGUGAAAAAUCCUUCAACUUGCUCAAGGAAGCAUUGGUCACUGCUCCAGUAGUGCAACCCCCUGACUGGGAAUUACCAUUUGAGAUAAUGUGUGACACAAGUGACUUUGCUGUGGGUGAAGUACUGGGACAAAGAAAAUGAAAGAUUUGCAUGUAAUAUACUAUGCUAGCAAAAAUCUUCAUGGUGCUCAAGCUAAUUACACAACCACAUAAAAGGAGUUGUUGGCAGUAGUGUAUGCCUUUGACAAAUUCAGGCAAUAUCUUGUAGGGUCUCAUUGUGUAGUUUACACAGACCACGCUGCAAUUAGAUAUCUACUCAGCAAGAAAGAAGCCAAGCCAAGGUUAAUUAGAUGGAUACUCUUGCUUCAAGAAUUUGAUGUGGAAAUCAAGGAUAAGAAAGGAGCUGAAAAUGUUGUGGCAGAUCACUUGUCGAGGUUGCAAAACAAUGCAGUAGACUCCUUACCUAUCAAUGAUGUUUUACCAGGGAGCAAUCUUAUGCAAGUGACUAGUAUACAAAAUUAUACACCAUGGUAUGCAUAUAUAGUUAAUUAUCUGGUCUGUAACAAAGUCCCUACAGAUUUUGGGUAUCAAAAGAAGAAGAAAUUCUUAUCAGAUAUGAAGCACUUCUUUUGGGAUGAACCUUACUUAUUCAAACAUUGUGCUGAUGGCAUUGUUCGAAGAUGCUUGCCGAAGGUGAAGCUAAAAGUGUGAUCUAUCAUUGCCAUUCAUCCCCUUAUGGAGGUCAUGCAAGUACUAGGAAGACUCAAGCGAAAAUUUUGCAAGCGGGAUUUUACUGGCCAACUUUAUUCAAGGAUGUACAUUCCUAUAUUGAAGCUUUUGAUCCUUGUCAGAGAACUGGAAAGAUUUGAAAAAGGCAAGAGAUGCCUCAAAAAGGAAUUCUUGAAGUAGAGCUCUUUCAUGUAUGGGGAAUUGAUUAUGUUGGACCCUUGCCAUCAUCAAAAGGGUACAAAAUACAUAUUGGUGGCAGUGGACUAUGUGUCAAAAUGGGUUGAGGCUGUACCAACCGUCAAUGCUGAUUCCAAGUCAGUUUGCAAUUUGUUCAAGCAAGUGAUCUUUCCAAGAUUUGGUGUGCCACGGAUUGUUAUCAGUGAUGGAGGAACACAUUUCAUCAACUCCCAACUACAAUCUCUCUUAGCAAAAUAUGGAGUUCAUAAUCACAGAAUUACAACUCCAUAUCACCCGCAAGCAAAUGGACAAGUGGAGUUGUCUAAUAGAGAAAUAAAGGCCAUUCUCGAGAAGGUAGUAUCAAAGUCAAGGUCUGACUGGGUACUGAAAUUACCAGACACACUAUGGGCAUAUAGGACAGCCUAUAAAACACCAAUAGGAAUGUCACCAUUCAGGUUAAUAUAUGGAAAAGCAUGCCAUCUACCCAUUGAACUUGAACACAAAGCUCAGUGGGCACUAAGGAAACUCAAUAUGGACCUUGAUGCAGCAGGAAAAUACAGAAAACUUCAACUCUGUGAAAUGGAAGAACUGAGAGCUGACUCUUAUGAGAGUGCAAGAAUAUACAAAGAAAAGACCAAGAUCUGGCAUGACAAGCAUAUAUUGAGGAAAGAAUUUCAUCUUGGACAGUUGGUAUUGGUCUAUGAUACUAGGUUUCAUUUAUUUCUUGGUAAAUUCAAGUCAAGAUGGUAUGGCCCUUGCAAGGUGAAGAAGAUUCUGCAAAAUGGUGCUAUUCAAGUGCAAAGUACUUCUGGAGGUCUCUUCCUUGUAAAUGGUCAAAGACUGAAGCCCUACAUCCCUGGAGAUCCACUUCUUAUUUCUGAAGAUGAGAAUGCAAGCGAAGAUCAAGACCCAGAGGAGGAAAUUCAAGAAGGUGAGGGGACCCAAGAGGUGUCAAUCCCUGCAGGACCCUGACCUCACUGACAAGACAUGGUCGAGCUAAAGACCUAAAACAAGCGCUUUUCAGGAGGCAACCUAAAUCUUUAAUAAGUUAUUUUCCUUAUUUAGUUUUCAUAGAUUUUUUCUUGUGUUUAUGUCUUUCUUUUUCAACAAAUAAAGGCGAGGGGAGCACAAACAGGGAACACAAACAGAGAAGAGUGGAGAGAAGAAAGUAGGAGAGAAGAGUAUACAAAUACCAGGUGAUUCUGUUCCACCUGAAGCAACCUUUAGAAAAUUUAGUACGAGAACUGGCAUUUAAUUGCAUUGAAACUCUUUUUUGCAUUGUGACACCUUACUCUUCACUGCAAAGUAGGAUUCACUCCAAGAAGAUUGUUGAUUCUCUUAAUACUAAAACUAUGCAGCUGUAUUCUUCUUAUGGUAAUUUGUGAUAAUGAAUACUUUAUACCUCCAUAUAAAUGUUCAAUGGGAAUGCCUUGAGUCUAAGUGAAACCUACUAAUGAAUUGAAGUGUUGUGUCUGACUGUCCCAAGUUAAGCUAAGUAACUGGUGGCACUUAAGUAGUAGCUAUGAUCUCUGGAUCUGUAGUCUGUGAAAAAUAGUGCCACUAGCUAUGGAUUCCUCUUUCAAUUAUUCCUAUUUUACUUAAGCUAAGUAAUUUUCAAAUAACUAAAUAAAAUAAUUAUAAUAAUUUAAGUCCGAUCGACCUACAGUAGCAUGUCAUGUUCUCGGGAUCGGUGGCUUGUGAAAUCUGGUAGAUUGGACUGUAAAAACAAAUUAUAUAAAAAAUGCUAUUAUUGUCGAACCAGGUGUAUACCAUGUUAUCGGGAUCGGUGGUAUGUUCCUUUGGGGAGAUAAUAACAAAAAAUAUAUACUAAUAAUUUGUCGAACCAGGUGUAUACCAUGUUCUCGAGAUCGGUGAUAUGUUCCUUUGGGGAGAUAAUAAAAAAAUAUACUAAUAAUUUGGUCGAGCCAGGUGUAUACCAUGUUCUCGGGAUCGGUGGUAUGUUCCUUUGGUGAGACUGAUAUAAUUUCAUCACUUGUGCUUUAAUUUCAAUAAGUAACUUGUUUUUCUAAUUGAUUUUGGGGUCCCAGCUUAUCUCAGGGCUGAAGACAGAGCCAGCUCUUGAUUAUUAGGAUGCACUUUGACUCAAGGCCAUUGACACGGAACAUUUACAGUGUGUUAUAAAUUAUUGCUUAUCACAAUUUAGCUUCAGUAGAGUACACUUGCUUAGUUCAGUAUUGUCGGAAUUACUAUCUAUCGGAAAGUGCAUCUUUACUAGGCAGUGUGAGUUGUGUCACCAUCAUUUUUUUCCUUUGCUUGAGGACAAGCAAAAAAUUGAGUGUGGGGGAAAUAAAUUGAUAGCACAUUUAUACAUAUAGUACUUUUAGCCUUUUUGAGUCACAAAUUAAACAUAUGAUCUCAGUAAUCACUCAUAAAGUAUUCAUUCCUACAGAAAUAUUCCUAUUGUGAUAUUUUUACAACACUUAUUCAUUUUUUGCAGGACUGGUGCGUUUAGGUACCCAAAUUUCGUCGAAAAUGCUUUCAACACUAAAGCGGGGAUCAACUUGGAGAAGAGUUCAGUUCUCAAGGGGGCAACACCGAAAAGUACCAGAGGAGCUGGGGUCUGGCGCGACACACCAGACGUGGUGUCUGAUCCUACGCGCGACUGAACCACCAAGAAGAGGAGUGGGGGUUGAAGGAAAAAUAACCAGGGGGCUGACUGCUCUCGCUCUCCAUGCUGCUCACCUACCACCAGAUCGAACCAGAGGAACACCAGAUUGGAGGGGGAGAAAAAGGGGAUCGAGGGAAGCGAGAAGGAGAACUAGAUCGAAUCCAAGACUCCUUUCUUCCUCUCCACGCUACUCACCCACGAUUGGAUCGAAGGAGGGAAGAGAAGGGAUCAAGGGGAACGAGAGGAACCAGGAGAGCGAGGGUUUCGGGAGGCUGGCGGCCUGGCUUAUCCACCGCGAGGCCUCUCCGCCCUGACCGACGCCCGCGCUGCUCUUCUCCGCCCUACCCCGAUGACCGCUCCUGCUCUUGCUCCAACCUCGAUGACCGCUGCCGCUUCUGCUCCAACACCGACGACCGCGCUGCUCUGCUUCAACUCCGUCGCCCGUUGCUGCUGUUCUUCUGCCAUAGAUCGUCUCCAAUGUGCCCCUGCUGUUCUUCUUCGCCUGCAACAUCUACAGCUUCGAAUUGAAGAUCACCAAGACCAUAGGCUCUGAACUUCUCUCUUCUCUUGUUCCUGUUCUCUGAGUAUAUGCACCGUUGGGUCUGAAAUUUACUCUGUUACCUGUGCACCUUUGCUGAACCCUCAUGUAUCCUUGCUGAAUUGCUGUGAUCCUUGGCUGGAUAUUAAGUUAGUAGUUAUUCUCCUGUGAGCUGCUGUCACUUUAAUUGGUUGCAUGAGUUGUGUGUGAUAUCUGAACCAUAUUACAUGUGCUAGUGUUACUUGUCUGUUUUCUUACAAGAAAAUCACUAAAAAGAGAAAGUCCUAUUUCUGAACCCUUUUACCCUUGUUG